AACAACAACAACAACAACCGUUGAGCCAGGUCUCCUUCCAGCAGCCUCAGCAACAAUAUCCAUCAGGCCAGGGCUCCUUCCAGCCAUCUCAGCAAAACCCACAGGCCCAGGGCUCUUUCCAGCCUCAACAACUGCCCCAGUUUGAGGAAAUAAGGAACCUAGCGCUACAGACGCUACUUGCAAUGUGCGAUGUCUAUAUCCCUCCAUAUUGCACCAUUGCUCCAUUUGGCAUCUUUGGUACUAACUGAGAAGAGAAGAACUCUAGUAGUAGAUAUAUGAUACACCGUUUUCUUAGUCCAUGGUUUGGUCGUUGUAGCGGUGAAAAAAUAAAGUGACAUGCACUAUCAUGUAAGAACCCGAACUAUACUAGUUCAAACUUGGGAAUAAAAGACAAACACAGGUCUUGUCUACAUAUGAUUGUUUGUUUGAGUUCCACUCAUGUGCCCAUUCACAAGUUCACCCCUAAUUAUAUAUAUUAUGCAUUAAGUAGAUAUUUAUGUUGCAUUAAUCUAAAGAUAACAAAAUGAGUCUGAAAUUUGAAUUAAAUUGAAGUAUUUCCUUGGACUUUCAAAUGGAGUAUUAUUAAAGUAGUAAGGACUAUCCUCAUCCUUGGCUUGCCCUUGAUCAAUUAUUUCCAGAGAAGCAUUCAAUUCGUCAAUCAAUUACAUUGAUUUUUGCAGCCGGUACUUCUCCUCAACAUGAGUAUAUUCAUCGCGGCUACUCCAAAUCGGCAUGAAUGAGGUACCGGUGCUCUGGAGCACUAGUACCUAACAGCUUCUCAUGUGAAGGGGUGCGGGCACGGGAGAGGUGUUUUUGGUGGGCCAGGGGAGUAAGAAGCGGCCGUGGCAGCGGUGCAGACACCCACAAAGCCCCGUAGUUUGUUUUUCGUUUACAGGAAAAUGCACAUCCAGACCGGCCUGCGGGCCGAUAUAGGACCGUAUUGGAUGGCAAAACAUGUCCGGAUGGUUGCGAGCGGUUUGAGGGUUAGCUUUUGUAACGCCCGGUUAGUUAUGCUAUUGUAAUUCCCUGCUAAUGAUGUCACGUAACCACGAUUACUAUUGUUAACCUCACAAUGAUUCAAUCCCAUUCAAAUUCAAAUUUAAAAUAAAGGCAAACAUCAAAAUUUCCAAACAUUAAAACUUAAAUCUUCGAGAGGUGGAAAAUAAUGCAUAAGUAAUUAUGGUGGAGAAACCACACUUUUAUAAAAUGUUUAAAUACUGUAAAAGAAUAAACAGUGGCUUAAACUAUUAUUUAAAUCCUUUUAAAAUAGUAAAAAUGUUCUAACUAAAUUAAUUGGGUACCAAACUUUUGGUGGCAGUGGUAUAUUUAGUAGAACUAAUUUAGAUGCUAAUUAUAUAAUUUACAAAAUUAAAGUAAAUUGAAAAAUAGGAUAAAACAUAAAAGGAAAGACAAAAUAAAUAAAAGCAAAAGGGGGCAACCCCUCGCUGGGCCUCGGCCUAACUGGCCACUGGGCUAGCUAGGCCGGCCCAGCCGCCUCCCUUAACCCCCCACUCCCCAUCGAACCCUGGCCCGAUCGCCCCACUUCCCCCACACCCCGUCGUCAGCCUCCCCACCUGUCGAUCCCAUCUGGAUCGGGGAGGGGAUCGCCCCCAUCAACCCCGUCGCCGUCUCCGGAUCGCCCGCUCGCCCAUCGCCCGCCGGAGUCGCCGGGCCUCCUCCCUGCCGCCCGUCUCCGGCUCGCCUCCUCUCUCGCUCCUCUUCCCUGACCCAAUCUGGAUCGGGAAGGGGCAAUGCGCCCGACGCCCCCCUUCACCGACGCCGUGCGCCAACACCGCCGCCCGAAGACCUCGCCGUCACCGGACCUCGCGUCGCCUCCUCGUAUCCCUCCCCGCCUCGCCUCAAGCCAUGACGACCCCCUUCUCGGCAACGCUGUGAGCCGCCCCCGUUUCCCUCCUCCUCUUUCCACCGCGUUCACAGCGUCGCCCGCCGUGCCCCUCGCCGCGCGCUCGCCCACCACCGCGCCAGCCCCGGUCCGCGCCCUCUCCUGCAUGCUUGCGUGCGCAUGACCCUAGCCGCGCCUGCGCCGUGAUCCCCUUAUCCNNNNNNNNNNNNNNNNNNNNNNNNNNNNNNNNNNNNNNNNNNNNNNNNNNNNNNNNNNNNNNNNNNNNNNNNNNNNNNNNNNNNNNNNNNNNNNNNNNNNNNNNNNNNNNNNNNNNNNNNNNNNNNNNNNNNNNNNNNNNNNNNNNNNNNNNNNNNNNNNNNNNNNNNNNNNNNNNNNNNNNNNNNNNNNNNNNNNNNNNNNNNNNNNNNNNNNNNNNNNNNNNNNNNNNNNNNNNNNNNNNNNNNNNNNNNNNNNNNNNNNNNNNNNNNNNNNNNNNNNNNNNNNNNNNNNNNNNNNNNNNNNNNNNNNNNNNNNNNNNNNNNNNNNNNNNNNNNNNNNNNNNNNNNNNNNNNNNNNNNNNNNNNNNNNNNNNNNNNNNNNNNNNNNNNNNNNNNNNNNNNNNNNNNNNNNNNNNNNNNNNNNNNNNNNNNNNNNNNNNNNNNNNNNNNNNNACCAAGACCCACAUCCCCUAAUUAACCAUUUAAUAAAUUUAAACUCUUAAAUUAACAUUAGUGUAUGACAUGUGGGUCCCCUAUUAAUUAAACUAAUUUAAUUAAAAUCUAUUAACUUCAAGUCUAUGACAUAUGGGCCCCACUGAACAUUUGACCAGUCAACGGUCCAGUCAAAUGUUGACCGGAUAGUUGACCAGAGGGCCCCACCAGUCAGCCUCUGUGCUGUUCUCCUGGGUACCUUUCUGAGUACACCUAGCAUUUUGCAUUUACAAUAUUUGUUUUAAAAUAAAUUAGAAUAAUUUCAAAAAAAUGAUUGAAACUUUUAAAAUUAAAAAAAAUUAUCCGUAACUCGGAUGAAAUUACUUUAUACAUGGAAGUUGCUCAAAAAAUGAGACGAAUCCUAAUACACAGUCCGUUCUUCUGCCACACGUCCCUAGCAUAGCGAACAUGCAACCACCCCCCUCCGGUUCGACUGUCCGAAAAUGUCAAACACCGGGAAUACUUUUCCGGAUGUUUCCCCUUCACUAGUAGCACCUAGUACCGCGUGAGGCAUACCUAGCACCACUUAUUGUAAUGUCAUGCAUCGUCAUGCAUCUGUUUGCAUUGUAUUCAUUGUUUCUUGCUCCUCUUCUCUCCGGUAGACUACGAGACUGACGCCGGUGCUGCCCCGGUCGAUUACGGUGUCCAUGACCCCUCCUUGUCAGCAGAGCUUCCAGGCAAGCAAACCCCCUUGAUCAUCCCGAUAUCGCCUACUCUUUCCUCUACUGCUUGCAUUAGAGUAUUGUUACUGUUUGUCGGUUUGAUCCUAUACUGCUGCAUGGCCUGUCUUUGAUACUACUUAUGUGUUAUUUGUUAGUACGCUUGGAGAAAAUGCCUUUGAUUAGGGCAUCUUCAACAGCGACCAGUAAAUUUCCUCCCGCGUUCGUCCACGAAUAGGGGAUCAGUCCGCGGACACGGAUACAGGAAUUGGCCAUCCAACAAUGUCCGCAUAUAUUUAAAACACUUAAAAAAUAGGAUGAAAUUCAUGCAAACACAGUGGAUUUCAUACAAACCGGACAAAAAUGUUUACAUUUUGGACAUUUUUUUUUUACUAAAAACUCUACAGCCGGUGCCGGCGAAUAUCCACUCCGGCAACAUGGAUACCCUUGACUAGUCUACUGCCGGCCGCAGCAGAUCUCCAAUGUCGUCCCCAUGUUCGGCAGCUGUGAGCCCUAGAGGUAUAUGCUUCAGCGCAAAGAGCGGCUCGCCUCCUACCGCUCAUCGGAGUGGAACAACCAGUUGAUGCUUCUGCCGAUGGGGAAGGGUCCCUACGCUACACGAAUUAGAGUUGGUUUUGGGUUGGGGGAACGGCGGUGGCCUGUCAGAGGGCAAGACACCGACUGUGUACGCUGGUGUCACCUGGUGUGGCAUUCAUGGGACCCAAGCGGCAGCGCCUCCUCAAUGAUGGCAGCGAGCGCGGACGUGUUGGACACCACCUCGUCGAUGUCCGUGCAGCCCGCUUCUUUCUCUGUAGGAAGGACGCGGUUACGCUCGCGUUGACAUCGGAUGACUCGGUCACAUGCACGAGAGGGGCGGUACAACAUGGCACCGUCAAUGGCAGCCAUGAUGCCCGCGCCACCGUGGUCCCUCCCAGUGCCGACCUGGAGCAACUUGCCACUCCUCGGCUCGUGACCGGCGGGCUUUACGGGCCACCUAGCCAUUUUUUAUGCCAGCCAACUCUUCUUCCUGCUCGUCAGAUGUCAUGGAGAAAACUGUUCAAGGAGGAAAAUGAUGAGUGGACGUGUGAUGCGCUUCUUGCCCAACAUCUGACAUUGUUUAAAUAGCGAGGGGACACGAGAGGAGCCAACCGGCGUUCUGUUCAAUGCCAACUGGCUCGCGAACGAACAUGUGGCCGGAGUAAUUAUCCUGGCACACACGCGGGUUUAAUGGUGGAAGGCGGGCAGUCUGCAGGAAUGAGGUGAGGAUGCGUGUUUAGCCGGCGUGCAGCGGGCAGCGCCCUCGGCCGGCGUGCUGCUUCCAUUGCGGAGGUAGUGAGAGGUCGCGUCCGCUCUGCAGCGCAUGAAUGCGGGCAGCUGGCGCAGAGCGGGAACGCGUGCAUGGUUUGGGUGGGCACGGGUGGUGAGAAGAGGUCAUGGGUGUUGUCCGAACGCCUGGAAAGCCCCCCCUCCAUGUUUGUCUCCGGUUUACGGGAGAAAGUACGUCCGGACCGUUUGAUGGACCAAUACAGGCCCGCAUUGGAUGGCACAACACGUCCGGACCAUGUGGUCCGGAUGGUUGUGGACGGUUUAAUUGAGGGUCGACGUUGGAGAUGCCUUAGAGUUUAUGAAUCCAUUGUGUUUUUUAAUCAUAAAAAGCACUUAUAACAAGUUAUAAGGAAAGACACGUUUAUAUGUUAGGUUCGGACUCCAGCUUUCCUCUUACAUAUGCUUUAUUGUGAUCCGACUGAUUCCAAUAGAGUGAGCCUAGCGUUGUUUUUCUGGAAACUUGCGGGAUAAGGAGACAUGCAUACACAUUCAUUCAAGCAAAUCACAUCCAUUCUUUUUAACUCAUUUUUCUUCUUUUAAUAAUAUAAUAGAUCAUUUAUAUUUUUAUCUCAAACAGUUGACGUGUAAUUUAUACUGUAAUCUGAGGAUAAUGUUUGGAUUUACUUUCAAAUAUAUUUGAAAUGGCCAUGAUGGAAUCACAUCCAUUUAUUUUAUUAUUAUUUGAAUUUGAUCCAAAAGAUAAAUAAUGAGUAGAGGUCAUGUCAACUUUUCUGAGAACUUUGCUAAUCAAAAUAUAAUUUGUAUUUAAAAACAUCUUUUUAGCACGCAUGAAAAACAUAACGCCUAUCUUUUCACACAUGAUGAACGGUUGUCAUAAGAACUCAUGGCAUGCCACAAGCUCCCUCCGACCCUGCCAACAUUGUUACAGCUGCACUCGCAAGCUUUAUCGUAGAUGAUCAUUUAUACGAUUUGCGUAAAUCAAAAUAAGAUCUACAAACGAAUAGAAGCUAGAACGUACCUUGGCAUGCACACACAUUGCAAGCCAUACUAAGCUGAUAAGUGUUAAUAACUUCUACAACAUAUACAACACUUAAGACAAGUAAAAGCAAUUUGAUGAGUCAUGGUCUAUCAAAGGCACAUUACUAGUCUAAUCCAUCUUAACAGGUCACACAUGAUUAAAACCUUGUUUGUGUGCAAGUCAAGCUUAUCUAGUUUACAUGUAACAACUUGUAGAACAUUACAAAAUUUAUGUUUGCUAAUAACCUCUAGAACACUACAACACUUGACAUGUAAAAGGAAUUUGAUGAGUCAUGGCCUACUAAAGCAAGUUAUAUUACUAGUCUUAUCUACCUUAACAGGCCACACAAGAUUACAAACUAAGUUCUGUGCUAGCCAUGCUUAUCUAGUUUAUGCGUAACAAUUUGCAGAAAAUUACAAACUUAGUUUCAGAAAAAUAGGCAAUCUAGAUUAGUGUUUGAGCUGUAAAGUGAAUAAGAUGAGUCAUGUGUGUUAUCACACCUUUUUGGUUGUGGAAUAAUAGUGCAACAACAAGGAACUUUAAUGACCAGUCCAAGAAUACACUUGUAAGUAGUGCCACCGAACACAACAUGCCAAAUUUUGAUUUUGAGAAGCAUCCAAACACUUCCACACAAGCAAAUGCCAAUUGUGAAAGAGAUCAUGCCAUGGCAGCUAUAAAUAGGCCCGUAGCAUGACGAUCAUCCUUCCUCAUCCAUCAUUCUCAUAAGUAGAGCGCAUCAUUUAAGCCAAGCAAGCAGUGCUCAAUACAAAUCCACCAUGAAGACCUUUCUCAUCCUUGCCCUCCUUGCUAUUGUGGCGACCACCGCCACAACUGCAGUUAGAGUUCCAGUGCCACAAUUGCAGCUACAAAAUCCAUCUCAGCAACAGCCACAAGAGCAAGUUCCAUUGGUACAAGAACAACAAUUUCCAGGGCAGCAACAACCAUUUCCACCACAACAGCCAUAUCCGCAGCCGCAACCAUUUCCAUCACAACAACCAUAUCUGCAGCUGCAACCAUUUCCACAGCCGCAACUACCAUAUCCGCAGCCGCAACCAUUUCGACCACAACAACCAUAUCCACAGCCGCAACCACAGUAUUCGCAACCACAACAACCAAUUUCGCAGCAGCAGCAGCAGCAGCAGCAACAACAACAACAACAACAACAAAUCCUACAACAAAUUUUGCAACAACAACUGAUUCCAUGCAGGGAUGUUGUAUUGCAACAACACAACAUAGCGCAUGGAAGCUCACAAGUUUUGCAAGAAAGUACUUACCAGCUGGUGCAACAAUUGUGUUGUCAGCAGCUGUGGCAGAUCCCCGAGCAGUCGCGGUGCCAAGCCAUCCACAAUGUUGUUCAUGCUAUUAUUCUGCAUCAACAACACCACCACCACCAACAACAACAACAACAACAACAACAACAACCGUUGAGCCAAGUCUCCUUCCAACAGCCUCAGCAACAAUAUCCAUCAGGCCAGGGCUUCUUCCAACCAUCUCAGCAAAACCCACAGGCCCAGGGCUCUUUCCAGCCUCAACAACUGCCCCAGUUUGAGGCAAUAAGGAACCUAGCGCUACAGACGCUACCUGCAAUGUGCAAUGUGUAUAUCCCUCCAUAUUGCACCAUUGCUCCAUUUGGCAUCUUCGGUACUAACUGAGAAGAGAAGAACUCUAGUAGUAGAUAUAUGAUACACCGUUUUCUUAGUCCAUGGUUUGGUCGUUGUAGCGGUGAAAAAAUAAAGUGACAUGCACUAUCAUGUAAGAACCUGAACUAUACUAGUUCAAACUUGGGAAUAAAAGACAAACACAGGUCUUGUCUACAUAUGAUUGUUUGUUUGAGUUCCACUCAUGUGCCCAUUCACAAGUUCACCCCUAAUUAUAUAUAUUAUGCAUUAAGUAGAUAUUUAUGUUGCAUUAAUCUAAAGAUAACAAAAUGAGUCUGAAAUUUGAAUUAAAUUGAAGUAUUUCCUUGGACUUUCAAAUGGAGUAUUAUUAAAGUAGUAAGGACUAUCCACAUCCUUGGCUUGCCCUUGAUCAAUUAUUUGCUGAGAAGCAUUCAAUUCGUCAAUCAAUUACAUUGAUUUUUGUGGCUGGUACUUCUCCUCAACAUGAGUAUAUUCAUCGUGGCUACUCCAAAUCGGCAUGAAUGAGGUACCGGUGCUCUGGAGCACUAGUACCUAACAGCUUCUCAUGUGAAGGGGUGCGGGCACGGGAGAGGUGUUUUUGGUGGGUCAAGGGAGUAAGAAGCGGCCGUGGCAGCGGUCCAGACGCCCACAAAGCCUCGUAGUUUGUUUUUGGUUUACAGGAAAAUGCACAUCCAGACUGGCCUGCGGGCCGAUAUAGGACCGUAUUGGAUGGCAAAACAUGUCCAGAUGGUUGUGAGCGGUUUGAGGGUUAGCUUUUGUAACGCCCGGUUAGUUAUGCUAUGGUAGUUCCCUGCUAAUGAUGUCACGUCACCACGAUUACUGUUGUUAACCUCACAAUGAUUCAAUCCCAUUCAAAUCCAAAUUUAAAAUAAAGGCAAACAUCAAAAGUUUCAAACAUUAAAACUAAAAUCUUCGAGAGGUGAAAAAUAAUGCAUAAGUAAUUAUGGUGGAGAAACCACACUUUUAUAAAAUGUUUAAAUACUCUAAAAGGAAUAAAACAGUGGCUUAAACUAUUAUUUAAAUGCUUUUAAAAUAGUAAAAAUGUUCUAACUAAAUUAAUUGGGUACCAAACUUUUGGUGGCAGUGGUAUAUUUAGUAGAAAAAAUUUAGAUGCUAAUUAUAUAAUUUACAAAAUUAAAGUAAAUUAAAAAAUAGGAUAAAACAUAAAAGGAAAGACAAAACAAAUAAAAGCAAAAGGGGGCAACCCCUCACUGAGCCUCGGCCUAGCUGGCCACUAGGCUAGCUAGGCCGGCCCAGCCGCCUCCCUUAACCCCCCACUCCCCAUCGAACAAUAGCCCGAUCGCCCCACUUCCCCCACACCCCCUCGUCAGCCUCCCCACCUCUCGAUCCCAUCUGGAUCGGGGAGGGGAUCGCCCCCAUCGACCCCGUCGCCAUCGCCGGAUCACCCGCUCGCCCAUCGCCCGCCGGCGUCGCCGGGCCUCCUCCCCGCCGCCCGUCUCCGGCUCUCCUCCCCUCUCGCUCCUCUUCCCCGACCCGAUAUGGAUCGAGAAGGGGCAAUGAGCCCGACGCCCCCCUCCACCGACGUUGUGCGCCAGCACCGCCACCCGAAGACCUCGUCGUCGCCGGACCUCGCGUCGCCUCCUCGUAUCUCUCCCCGACUCGCCUCCUCAAGCCACGCCGACCCCCUUCUCGGCAACGCUGUGAGCCGCCCCCGUUUCCCUCCUUCUCUUUCCACCGUGUUUGAUAAGUCUCCAACGUAUCUAUAAUUUUUGAUUGUUCCAUGCUAUAUUAUAUUCUGUUUUGGAUGAUUAAUGGGAUUUAUUAUACACUUUUAUAUUAUUUUUGGGACUAACCUAUUAACCGGAGGCCCAGCCCAAAUUGCUGUUUUUUUGCCUAUUUCAGUGUUUCGCAGAAAAAGAAUAUCAAACGGAGUCCAAACGGAAUGAAACCUUCGGGAAUGUGAUUUUCGGAACAAACGUGAUCCAGAGGACUUGGAGUGGACGUCAAGCAACAGACGAGGAAGCCACGAGGUAGGGGCGCGCCUACCCUCCUGGGCGCGCCCUCCACCCUCAUGGGCCCCUCGUGGCUCCACUGACCUACUUCUUCCUCCUAUAUAUACCUACGUACCCCCAAACCAUCAGAAGCGACCACAAAAACCUAAUUCCACCGCCGCAACCUUCUGUACCCGUGAGAUCCCAUCUUAGGGCCUUUUCCGGCGUCCUGCCGGAGGGGGCAUUGAUCACGGAGGGCUUCUACAUCAACACCAUAGCCUCUCCGAUGAUGUGUGAGUAGUUUACCUCAGACCUUCGGGUCCAUAGUUAUUAGCUAGAUGGCUUCUUCUCUCUCUUUGGAUCUCAAUACAAAGUUCUCCUCGUUUCUCUUGGAGAUCUAUUUGAUGUAACUCUUCUUUUUGCGGUGUGUUUGUCGAGAUCCGAUGAAUUGUGGGUUUAUGAUCAAGAUUAUCUAUGAACAAUAUUUGAAUCUCCUCUGAAUUCUUUUAUGUAUGAUUGGUUAUCUUUGCAAGUCUCUUCGAAUUAUCAGUUUGGUUUGGCCUACUAGAUUGAUCUUUCUUGCAAUGGGAGAAGUGCUUAGCUUUGGGUUCAAUCCUGCGGUGUCCUUUCCCAGUGACAGCAGGGGCAGCAAGGCACGUAUUGUAUUGUUGCCAUCGAGGAUAAAAAGAUGGGGUUUAUAUCAUGUUGCAUGAGUUUAUCCCUCUACAUCAUGUCAUCUUGCUUAAAGCGUUACUCUGUUUUUAUGAACUUAAUACUCUAGAUGCAUGCUGGAUAGCGGUCGAUGUGUGGAGUAAUAGUAGUAGAUGCAGAAUCGUUUUGGUCUACUUGUCACGGACGUGAUGCCUAUAUACAUGAUCAUACCUAGAUAUUCUCAUAACUAUGCUCAAUUCUAUCAAUUGCUCGACAGUAAUUCGUUUACCCACCAUAAUACUUAUGCUCUUGAGAGAAGCCACUAGUGAAACCUAUGGCCCCCGGGUCUAUUUUCCAUCAUAUUAAUCUUCCGUCAACAAGCUAUUUCUAUCUUUAUUUACCUUGUAAUCUUUACUUUUACUCUUUAUCAUAAAAAUACCAAAAAUAUUAUCUUAUCAUCUCUAUCAGAUCUCACUCUCGUAAGUGACCGUGAAGGGAUUGACAACCCCUUUAUCGCGUUGGUUGCGAGGUUCUUAUUUGUUUGUGUAGGUGCGUGGGACUUGAGUGUGGCCUCCUACUGGAUUGAUACCUUGGUUCUCAAAAACUGAGGAAAAUACUUACGCUACUUUACUGCAUCACCCUUUCCUCUUCAAGGGAAAACCAACGCAGUGCUCAAGAGGUAGCAAGAAGGAUUUCUAGCACCGUUGCCGGGGAGUCUACGCACAAGUCAAGACAUACCAAGUACCCGUCACAAACUCUUAUCCCUCGCAUUACAUUAUUUGCCAUUUGCCUCUCGUUUUCCUCUCCCCCACUUCACCCUUGCCGUUUUAUUCGCCUCCUUUUCGUUUGCUUCUUGUUUGCUCGUGUGUUGGAUUGCUUGUUUGUCGCGAUGGCUCUACCUAGAUUUGGUGAUCUUCCAUUAAAAGGUUAGAAGAGAUUGAAAGCAACGUCAGAAGUUUCAUGACUUUACAAUUUGAGCAUAACAAUUUCUUUAGAAACGAGCUUAAGGAACAAAAAAGCUUUAUGGGUUACAUGAAUAAAGAGCUCGACGAUAUGUCUAAGGAAUUUUAUGGUCUAAAAUCUUAGAUUUCUCAUCUCGAAAAAUUAAUUGCUGAAAUUUCGGAUAAGCAGGCCACCUUAGUUAAUAAGAUGGCCGCUAAACCGGUAAUUUUUUAUGAGAAUAAAGAUGAAGAUCUAAAAGUUAUUGAUGUGUCCCCUAUUAAAUCUUAGUUUUGCAAUAUGAAUCUUGAUAAUGAUGGGACUGGAGAUGAGUCAACUUUAGUUAAAAGGCGUCCCAAAAAUUCGGAGUUUUUAGAUCUUGAUGCAAAAUUUGGUAAAAGUGGGAUUGAAGAGGUCAAAACUUUAGAUAUCAAUGAACCCACUAUCUUGGAUUUCAAGGAAUUUAAUUAUGAUAAUUGCUCUUUGAUAUAUUUUAUUUCCUUGUUGCAAUCCGUGUUAAAUUCUCCUCAUGCUUAUAGUCAAAAUAAAGCUUUUACUAAACAUAUCGUUGUUGCUUUGAUGCAAUCUUAUGAAGAAAAACUUGAGUUGGAAGUUUCUAUCCCUAGAAAACUUUAUGAUGAAUGGGAACCUACAAUUAAAAUUAAAAUUAAAGAUCAUGAAUGCUAUGCUUUGUGUGAUUUGGGUGCUAGUGUUUCCACGAUCCCAAAAACUUUGUGUGAUUUGCUAGGUUUCCGUGAAUUUGAUGAUUGUUCUCUAAAUUUGCAUCUUGCGGAUUCCACCAUCAAGAAACCUAUGGGAAGAAUUAAUGAUGUUAUUAUUGUUUCAAAUAGGAACUAUGUGCCCGUAGAUUUUAUUGUUCUUGAUAUAGAUUACAAUCCUUCAUGUCCUAUUAUUUUUGGUAGACCUUUCCUUAGAACGAUUGGUGCAAUUAUUGAUAUGAAAGAAGGAAAUAUUAGAUUCCAAUUUCCGUUAAGGAAAGGUAUGGAACACUUUCCUAGAAAGAAAAUAAAAUUACCUUAUGAAUCUAUUAUGAGAGCUACUUAUGGAUUGCCUACCAAAGAUGGCAAUACCUAGAUCUAUCCUCGCUUUUAUGCCUAGCUAGGGGCGUUAAAUGGUAGCGCUUGUUGGGAGGCAACCCAAAUUUUAUUUUAGUUUUUUUGCUUUUUUGCUUCUGUUUAGGAAUAAAUCUUUGAUCUAGACUCUGGUUAGACUUGUUUUUAUGUUUUAAUUAGUGUUUGUGCCAAGUUAAACCUAUAGGAUCUUCUUGGAUGAUAGUUAUUUGAUCUUGCUGAAAAUUCCAGAAACUUUCUGUUCACGAAAACAAUUGUUAAAAAUCACCAGAACGUGAUAAAAUACUGAUUCUAAUUGCAGUAGAUCAAUAAACAAAUUAUCUAGGUCUUCCUAUUUUGGUAGAUUUUUCUGAGUUACAUAAGUUUGUGUUAGUUACAGAUUACUACAGACUGUUCUGUUUUUGACAGAUUCUGUUCUUCGUGUGUUGUUUGCUUAUUUUGAUGAAUCUAUGGCUAGUAAAAUAGUUUAUAAACCAUAGAUAAGUUGGAAUACAUUAGGUUUAACACCAAUAUAAAUAAAGAAUGAGUUCAAUACAGUACCUUGAAGUGGUGUUUUGUUUUCUUUCGCUAACGGAGCUCACGAGAUUUUCUGUUAAGUUUUGUGUUGUGAAGUUUUCAAGUUUUGGGUAAAGAUUUGAUGGAUUAUGGAACAAGGAGUGGCAAGAGCCUAAGCUUGGGGACGCCCAAGGCACCCCAAGGUAAAUCUAAGGACACCAAAAAUCCAAAGCUUGGGGAUGCCCCGGAAGGUAUCCACUCUUUCGUCUUCGUCCAUCGGUAACUUUACUUGGAGCUAUAUUUUUAUUCACCACAUGAUAAGUGUUUUGCUUGGAGCGUCUUGUAUGAUUUGAGUAUUUGCUUUUUAGUUUACCACAUUCAUACUUGCUGUACACACCUUUUGAGAGAGACACACAUGAUUCAGAAUUUAUUAGAAUACUCUAUGUGCUUCACUUAUAUCUUUUGAGCUAUAUAGUUUUUGCUCUAGUGCUUCACUUAUAUCUUUUAGAGCACGGUGGUGGUUUUGUUUUAUAGAAACUAUUUUUCUCUCAUGCUUCACUUAUAUCAUUUUGAGAGUCCUACAUAACAGCAUGGUAAUUUGCUUAAAUUGAGAAAUUAGUCCUAAUAUGAUAGGCAUCCAAGAUUAGUAAAAACUUUCUUAUAAGUGCGUUGAAUACUAAGAAAAGUUUGAUGCUUGAUGAUUGUUUUGAGAUAUGGAGGUAGUGAUAUUAAAGUUGUGCUAGUUGAGUAGUUUUGAAUUUGAGAAAUACUUGCGUUGAAGUUUGCAAGUCCCGUAGCAUGCACGUAUGGUAAACGUUGUGUAACAAAUUUGAAACAUGAGGUGUUCUUUGAUUGUCCUCCUUAUGAGUGGCGGUCGGGGACGAGUGAUGGUCUUUUCCUACCAAUCUAUCCCCCUAGGAGCAUGCGCGUAGUGCUUGGUUUUUGAUGACUUGUAGAUUUUUGCAAUAAGUAUGUGAGUUCUUUAUGACUAAUGUUGAGUCCAUGGAUUAUACGCACUCUCACCCUUCCAUCAUUGCUAGCAUCUUCGGUACCGUGCAUUGCCCUUUCUCACCUUGAGAGUUGGUGCAAAUUUCGCCGGUGCAUCCAGACCCCGUGAUACGAUACGCUCUGUCACACAUAAACCUCCUUAUAUCUUCCUCAAAACAGCCACCAUACCUACCUGUUAUGGCAUUUCCAUAGCCAUUCCGAGAUAUAUUGUCAUGCAACUUUCCACCGUUCCGUUUAUCAUGACACGUUUCAACAUUGUCAUAUUGCCUUGCAUGAUCAUGUAGUUGACAUCGUAUUUGUGGCAAAGCCACCGUUCAUAAUUUUUCAUACAUGUCACUCUUGAUUCAUUGCCCAUCCCGGUACACCGCCGGAGGCAUUCAUAUAGAGUCAUACUUUGUUCUAGUAUCGAGUUGUAAUCAUUGAGUUAUAAAUAAAUAGAAGUGUGAUGAUCAUCAUUCAUAGAGCAUUGUCCCAAAAAAAGGAGAAAGGCCAAAUGAAAAAAAGGCCCAAAAAAAGGGGCAAUGUUACUAUCCUUUUUCCAUACUUGUGCUUCAAAGUAGCACCAUGGUCUUUAUGAUAGAGAGUCUCUUGUUUUGUCACUUUCAUAUACUAGUGGGAAUUUUUCAUUAUAGAACUUGGCUUGUAUAUUCCCACAAUGGGCUUCCUCAAAUGCCCUAGGUCUUCGUGAGCAAGCAAGUUGGAUGCACACCCACUUAGUUUCUUUUGUUGAGCUUUCAUGCAUUUAUAGCUCUAGUGCAUCCGUUGCAUGGCAAUCCCUACUCCUUGCAUUGACAUCAAUCGAUGGGCAUCUCCCUAGCUCGUUGAUUAGCCGCGUCAAUGUGAGACUUUCUUUUCUUUUUUUCUUCUCCACAUAACCCCCAUCAUCAUAUUAUAUUCCACCCAUAGUGUUAUAUCCAUGGCUCACGCUCAUAUAUUGCGUGAAAGUUGAAUUUUUUUUGAGAUUACUAAAGUAUGAAACAAUUGCUUGGCUUGUAAUCGGGGUUGUGCAUGAUGAGAGCAUUCUUGUGUGACGAAAAUGGGGCAUGACCAAACUAUAUGAUUUUGUAGGGAUGAACUUUCUUUGGCCAUGUUAUUUUGAGAAGACAUAAUUGCUUAGUUAGUAUGCUUGAAGUAUUAUUACUUUUAUGUCAAUAUUAAACUUUUAUCUUGAAUCUUUCGGAUCUGAAUAUUCAUACCACAAAUAAGAGAAUUACAUUGAAAAUUAUGCUAAGUAGCAUUCCACAUCAAAAAUUCUGUUUUUAUCAUUUACCUACUCGAGGACGAGCAGGAAUUAAGCUUGGGGAUGCUUGAUACGUCUCCAACGUAUCUAUAAUUUUUGAUUGUUCCAUGCUAUAUUAUAUUCUGUUUUGGAUGAUUAAUGGGCUUUAUUAUACACUUUUAUUAUUUUUGGGACUAACCUAUUAACCGGAGGCCCAGCCCAAAUUGUUGUAUUUUUUGCCUAUUUUAGUGUUUCGCAGAAAAAGAAAAUCAAACGGAGUCCAAACGGAAUGAAACCUUCGGGAACGUGAUUUUCGGAACAAAUGUGAUCCAGAGGACUUGGAGUGGACGUCAAGGAACAGACGAGGAAGCCAUGAGGUAGGGGGGCGCGCCUACCCCCUGGGCGCGCCCUCCACCCUCGUGGCUCCACCGACCUACUUCUUCCUCCUAUAUAUACCUACGUACCCCCAAACCAUCAGAAGCGACCAUGAAAACCUAAUUCCACCACCGCAACCUUCUAUACCCCUGAGAUCCCAUCUUGGGGCCUUUUCCGGCGUCCUGCCGGAGGGGGCAUUGAUCACGGAGGGCUUCUACAUCAACACCAUAGCCUCUCCGAUGAUGUGUGAGUAGUUUACCUCAGACCUUCGGGUCCAUAGUUAUUAGCUAGAUGGCUUCUUCUCUCUCUUUGGGUCUCAAUACAAAGUUCUCCUCGUUUCUCUUGGAGAUCUAUUUGAUGUAACUCUUCUUUUUGCGGUGUGUUUGUCGAGAUCCGAUGAAUUGUGGGUUUAUGAUCAAGAUUAUCUAUGAACAAUAUGUGAAUCUCCUAUGAAUUCUUUUAUGUAUGAUUGGUUAUCUUUGCAAGUCUCUUCGAAUUAUCAGUUUGGUUUGGCCUACUAGAUUGAUAUUUCUUGCAAUGGGAAAAGUGCUUAGCUUUGGGUUCAAUCUUGCGGUGUCCUUUCCCAGUGACAGCAGGGGCAGCACGGCACAUAUUGUAUUGUUGCCAUCGAGGGUAAAAAGAUGGGGUUUAUAUCAUAUUGCAUUAGUUUAUCCCUCUACAUCAUGUCAUCUUGCUUAAAGCGUUACUCUGUUCUUACGAACUUAAUGCUCUAGAUGCAUGCUGGAUAGCGGUCGAUGUGUGGAGUAAUAGUAGUAGAUGCAGAAUCGUUUCGGUCUACUUGUCACGGACGUGAUGCCUAUAUACAUGAUCAUACCUAGAUAUUCUCAUAACUAUACUCAAUUCUAUCAAUUGCUCGACAGUAAUUCGUUUACCCACCGUAAUACUUAUGCUCUUGAGAGAAGCCACUAUUGAAACCUAUGGCCCCCGGGUCUAUUUUCCAUCAUAUUAAUCUUCCGUCAACAAGCUAUUUCUAUCUUUAUUUACCUUGCAAUCUUUACUUUUACUCUUUAUCAUAAAAAUACCAAAAAAAAUUAUCUUAUCAUCUCUAUCAGAUCUCACUCUCGUAAGUGACCGUGAAGGGAUUGACAACCCCUUUAUCGCGUUGGUUGCGAGGUUCUUAUAUAUUUGUGUAGGUGCGUGGGACUUGAGUGUGGCCUCCUACUGGAUUGAUACCUUGGUUCUCAAAAACUGAGGGAAAUAAUUACACUACUUUACUGCAUCACCCUUUCCUCUUUAAGGGAAAACCAACGCAGUGCUCAAGAGGUAGCAGUGUUCACCGCGCCGCCCGCCGUGCCCCUCGCCGCGCGCACGCCCACCACCGCGCCAGCCCCCGCUCAGCGCCCUCUCCUGCACGCUUGUGCGCGCAUGACCCUAGCCACGCCCGCGCCGUGAUCCCCUUGUUCGGCCCGCCUUCGUCCCGCGCUCGCCGCGGCCCCCAUGCUCCCCCGUGCCAUCUUCUAGGGGCGUCGGCUGCCCCUGUCCCGCUGCUCGCUGCCACGCCUCGCCCGCCCGCGCCUCGCCACCGCUCUACUGCUACGCUAAUAUUGCGCUGUGGCCGCCGCCGCUUCCCGCUGCUCUGCCAGCGCCGAAGCUCCCGGUUGGCUCCGCCGCUGCUCACGUUUUACCGCCCCUAAACGGCCUACCCCCCCCCUCGCUAAUGAACCCCCACUGACCCGCUGACACCGGGACCCACAUCCCCUAAUUAACCAUUUAAUAAAUUAAAAAUCUUAAAUUAACAUUAGUGUAUGACAUGUGGGUCCCCUAUUAAUUAAACUGAUUUAAUUAAAAUCUAUUAACAUUGAGUCUGUGACAUAUGGGCCCCACUAAACAUUUGACCAGUCAACGGUCUAGUCAAAUGCUGACCGGACAGUUGACCAGAGGGCCCCACCAGUCAGCCUCUGUGCUGUUCUGCUGGGUACCUUUCUAAGUACACCUAGCAUUUUGCAUUUACAAUAUUUGUUUUAAAAUAAAUUAGAAUAAUUUCAAAAAAAGAUUAAAACUUUUAAAAUUAAAAUAAAAUAAUCCGUAACUCGGAUGAAAUUACUUUAUACAUGCAAGUUGCUCAAAAAACGAGACGAAUCCGAAUACACAGUCCGUUCGUCUGCCACACGUCCCUAGCAUAGCAAACAUGCAACCAUCCCCCUCCGGUUCGACUGUCCGAAAAUGUCAGACACGGGAAAUACUUUUCCGGAUUUUCCCCUUCACCAUUAGCACCUAGUACCGCGUGAGGGCAUACCUAGCACCACUUAUUGUAAUGUCAUGCAUCGUCAUGCAUCUGUUUGCAUUGUAUUCAUUGUUUCUUCCUCCUCUUCUCUCCGGUAGACUACGAGACCGACGUCGGUGCUGCCCCGGUCGACUACGGUGUCCAUGACCCCUCCUUGUAAGCAGAGCUUCCAGGCAAGCAAACCCCCUUGAUCAUCCCGAUAUCGCCUACUCUUUCCCUCUACUGCUUGCAUUAGAGUAUUGUUACUGUUUGUCGGUUUGAUCCUAUACUGCUGCAUGGCUUGUCUUUGAUACUACUUAUGUGUUAUUUGUGUAGAUUUGUCAAGGAAAAAUGAGUCUAUAGCCUAAUAAAUGAAGUGUUGCAUGUUACCACACAUAUGUUAAUCCCCACUAUAGAGUUAGUAACAUAGACUAGUAACAUGUGCAUGUUACUACCCAUUGUGGCCAGUCUAUGUUACCACUUUCCUCUCUUUCUUCAUUUAUUGCUUGCCACAUCAUCUAUUUUAUCUAGGUAUGUGUGAUAUUACUACCUAUGUUACUCCCACUGUGGGUAGUCUAAGCAGGCUAUAAGGAAUAGAAUAAUAUAUAUGUGCUUAUUAGUUGGAGGAAAGAGAAGAGAAGCGGGCUCUUGGUUAGUAGAGCCAGCUACAACAUGAGACCCAAGCACUUUGUGAGGAUGUAAGGUGGCCAACUAUUGAUAAACUAGUACGUAUAUAAAAAUUAUUAUUGCACAUGGCCGCUAAGAGGUUGGCUGUAUAUGACAUGACAACUUCUUAUAGCCGACCCUUGGCUGUAUUAUUAACCAUGCUCUUAGUGAGGUAGCUAGUAUAUCAUAGACGACUAGCUAGUAUCAGACUAGCCAAAGUGGGAGUAACUUCAGCAGUAACAUCGACUCCAACUCAGAAAACUUGCUUAUGUGGGAGUAAACCGUGCCCAAUGCAAAAUACAAUCCCAGUCAUAAUUUUUUCAGGAAACGUGUGGUAUCCCAAACGAAAAGUACAUGUCACUCUUGCGGCAACGAUACCCAAUAAAUCACAAACGGUCUGCAGCACUUGUAUGUGUGCGAAGAGGCUCCUGAACCGUUUGUGAUAGAACAUUAUCGUAGACGAUAAUUGUUGGCAAACGUGUGCGAUGGAGUCUAGCAUGGCAGACAGGUUACGCAGAAAACUCGUGUGCGAUGGGGCACAAAUCGCACACAGUUCAUAUGUUGGCCCGUGUGCCUUACAUACUAUUUCCCAAACGGUUUGUUACGACAGACCGUAUGGUUUCAGUGCGUCAUUAGAAACGCUUAAUCACCGAUACCACACGUGCGAAAGAAUUUAGUGUGUGCUUCAUCGCACACGAUUACAUUUUGGAAGGCCUCUGGAUCACUGCUCCAUAUCCCCGACGGUUUCUGGGUCGUGUGGGAAGUACACCCUAUCGCACACACUCACUUGGCGACGGUUCCAAAUGCCAUCGCGGAAAGGGGUUGAAAACAGUUUGUUUAGAACCGACGCGUACCAUUGUCUAUCUAUCUAUCUACCUAUCUAUCUAUCUAUCUAUCCAUCCAUCUAUCUAUCUAUCCAUCUAUCUAUCCACCUAUCCAUCUAUCCAUCUAUCUAUCUCUAUCCAUCUAUCUAUCUAUCCAUCUAUCCAUCUAUCUAUCCAUCUAUUUAUCUAUCUAUCUAUCUAUCUAUCUAUCUAUGUAUCCAUCGAUCCAUCUAUCCAUCCAUCGAUCCAUCUAUCCAUCCAUCUAUCUAUCCAUGCAUCCAUGUAUCCAUCUAUCGAUCUAUCCAUCUAUCCAUAUAUCGAUCUAUCCAUCUAUCUAUCCAUCUAUCCAUCUAUCCAUCUAUCGAUCUUUCCAUCUAUCGAUCUAUCCAUCUCUUCAUCUACCCAUCUAUCCAUCUAUCCAUCUACCGAUCUAUCUAUCCAUCUAUCUACCUACCUAUCUAUCUAGCUAUCUAGCUAUCUAUCUAUCUAUCCAUCCAUCUGUCCAUCCAUCCAUCUAUCUACCUACCUACCUACCUACCUACCUACCUAUCUAUCUAUAUAUCUAUCUAUCUAUCUAUCUAUCUAUCUAUCUAAAGGAAAUAUGCCCUAGAUGCAAUAAUAAAGUUGUUAUUUAUAUUACUUAAACUAGCAGAGUCACCCGCGCAUUUGCGCGGCUAGAUUGACUACAUAUAUUGUUAUAUUUGGGAUUAUUUUUCUAUGCCAACUUUAUGGCCUCUUACUCAGAUAUUAUCUAAUUUAAUUUACCACCACCAUAUGUUAUAUCCAUAGAUUAUAAUUAAAAGGCAACUUGCGACGAAACAUGGUCAGAUUAUUGAGUGCUCAGAAGACGGGCGCAAUAUCAUAUAUAGACUUCUAUACCAAUCUUCAUGGUUCCCAUCUUUGAUCCUCUCCUCGUCCCUUGGUAUCUAUCUUUGCACCCAAUAUGUCUUUGGAGUUCCAAGAAUUGGAUCUUAGCAUGAAUGGCUUCAAAGUGUACCAAAUGUUCUCUUGUUCCUCCCAAAUUAAUUACUGGUUGCAUUCUUAGUUGCUUUGACAUUCUUGGUUAAUGCAAUGUCUUGCCUACCAAUAUAUGCAUCCACACACGAUCAUAUUUAUAUGACCACUUACCUCUGUAUUCUGGUAUUUGUGCUUCAGAAUUUUUCUCUCAUUCAGUUUAUUCAUAGAUUAGAAACGUCGAUCGUUUCUUUAUUGGUUUGCAUUAUCUUGUUUGCCGAAUGUAAGCAUCCACACAUGCUCGUCAUGAUAUGAUUGGUCAUCAUUGUAUAUUUGUAUUUGUGUGUUGAUAGCUUAAGGAUUUUCUCGGAUUCACUUCAUAGUUUAAGGAUUUUCUCGCGUUCAAUUUAUUCUACCUUAUUCAUUUUCAUGUUUCUUUAUUGUAUUCAUAUCCAUUCUUACAAUAUAUUUUCCAAGAUAUGAACUCAACUACUAAUUACGUAGUUUUCAAUGAAAUUUUACAUGUAAAAGUGGUACAAAUGCAUAAACCCAAUUUUUUUUUAAACACGUUGACUUACAAAAAGGACAAUUCAAGCUGCAUGUACGUCCGACUCAUGUUUACCUGACAAUGUCGAUGUUGAUUUCAGCAGUAAAUGAGCUGUGUGUGACCUUUGCGCUUUCCGGUAUUCUUCUAACCUGUGUGCUUUAUGAUCAGUUUGUUGUGCUUAGUACUGGACACUGGAGUAUACUAUCAUAUUUGAUACAAACAAAUCCGAACUGCUAUAGUUAUGAUCCACUGUAUAGUUAAUGGUGGUGGUAAUUAAUAUAUGUGGUUAAAUACUUGCGCUCCUUAGGUGGGGAGUUGGAUUUGUAUUUGUCUAAAAUGAAUUUCAGAUUUCGUAUCAGUGGUGAAGCCAGCCGGAAGAACCUCUGCGUCAUUAUUAAUUUUGGUGAUAUUUUUCAUCAUAGUGUAGAAUAAUUUUAGUGCUUAUUCCGCAAAAAAAUGGCCUCAACUGACCCCAUAGCUUGUAUGUUGCGCCACCACUGUUUCGUAUAUCUUAUUACAUCCGUUGUUUUUAGAUCUUGAUGCAUAACUUUGACAAUUUUUAAUAGAUAUGUGUCUGUAUAAAAAAAUUAUAAAUGCUAUGAUAAUUUGAUUAAUUAUGAUGAAUAAAAUGGUAUUGCUUUGACUUGAUCCCUCUAACAAUUUAUAGGAAUGCUCUUAAAUAUUUCUGCUUCAUUUGAUCUCAUUAUAGCCUGCCUAAAUUACAUGGCUUAAUCGCCUUUUUUCUUUUAUCUUAGUUCAUUUCCGUAAAUUCAUUUGUACUAUAUAUGCUCCCGUAAAUUCAUUUUUUUAAUUGCUCACAUUUUUUUGAGGCAUUUUGAGUUUCUCACGUACGCUCAAACGCCCAAGAAAACACAUAUAGUGUUCGCUACGCCCAAGAAAACACAUUGAGGCAGUAAUUUCUUCAGGCAAGAUCGAUCGGCAGCUAAUUAAGUAGGCUGGAUGGCAUUGAGAAAUCCAAAAACGAUUUACAUACACAUGGUAGAUCGUCUCUCUCUCUCCUUCCACCCCUUCCUUUCAUGGCCAUCGUAGACUGCACCAUGUGGCAUUCAAACUUUUAUCAAGGGGAGAGUUUCCUCACACACACACACACACAUGCACAUACGCAAGCACACGCACACACGUGUAGUACAAACUUAGAAUUUUUGGAAAUAAUGGGAGGCCGAGCAACGGCCAUGUGAAAAUAUGAGGUAUAUAGCUUGUGGAUUUCCUUUCAGUGUACAAGGCCUGCAUGAGGAAUGGAUAAAAAAUUAUAUCUUUGAUUCCCUUAGUUAAAUCUUAUCCUUCAUCGUCAAUUAUGACUAAGCAUACAUAGUAACCGCUAGUUUCUCUUAUAUGCUUCCGAGAAGAUAAGACUGGAUAUUUUAGUUGCUAUUAAUUGUUUCCCUUCUUUCGCUAAAUAGUAGUCAAACAUGUUAUUAAUGUAUUUUGUAAGGAUAAGGUCGAGCAUCAUGGCCACUAUGUUCUAUAUAUACUGAAUUUGGUGUUCAGUAUGACAUAACAAACACAUAUUGUGAGAAGGAGUAGUGUACAUUGUUCUCUAGUGCACUUUGUUCAGCAAGUUGGGUGAAAAUGUUGAAUAGAACCAUCAAGUUUUCAUACUUUUUUUCAUGGCACAGGUUUGCCUUCUCAUGAUGAUGGCCGCACCGUUUGCACAAGCUGCUGGGAGGCCUGUGGCCUCCUUACCAUGGGUAGCGGGGUGUUGCCCGAGGAACUAUUUGUGUUGUGGUGUUGGUGCCGUUGCCCCGACAUCCCAUGCAUCACAGGCCACCUCUGUACCUUGAGUUAUGGUUUCGCCUGAUCUCCUCUCAUAACAUAGUUGAUAUAACAUAGUAGCAUCACAAAGGUUGCAUGGUUUCAUUGAUUCAUCUCUUUUCUACUCCUUGAAACUUGUGAUGCCACUUUUGAACAAUGUCAUUGCUAUGUCUUCUUAUAACUAAUAAAAUGGGAGGAUAUUUUCAUCUUAUUUGAAUUGUGUUGUAACAUUACCUACUAAUGUGGAUGAUCUGAGUGGGACUACAUAGAUCGGAUCUUCUAAAGAUGUAAUCUAGGACUUUGCGAGAUGAUGAAAUUGUCCUUUAUCUUGGUCGACACCUUUUCGUAGAAGUGUUGGUCGGCCGUCUGUGUCUUUUUGCGGUGCAUGCCGUAGAAUCCUCCAUGUUUUGUAGUUGUACAAUAACCUUUGAGGCAACCGGGGGUGGUACGUCUGAGGAAGUCGGUGGCCCAGGAAUAUUCAUAAUAAGAUCUUGACCAUGGAUGCCAAGUAAUUUGCCCCGUGCUGAUGUCGUCGGGCUGACCCGCUCACUUAUGUUUUGACUCAAGGAGUCGCUAUGUUCACCGAGUCGCGAGACAGCGGGAGGAAGGAGACGAAGGUCCCAAACGUCAGACCAAAAAGGUGGACUAGGGCUCGCCCUAGUUGUGCUCUCGGGUAUUUUCAGUUACUAGUAGGAGUAAGAAGCAUUGCAAAUUGCUCCCUCUGUUCAAUCCGUAUAUAUGUAGUCCAUAUUCAUAUAUUCAAAAUAUUUUAUAUUUGUGAACGAAGGAAGUAAUUAAUUGUAAUGCAACAAUUUCAGGGGAGGCCAGUCAACAGCUAACUAAAUGUGCUGGAUGAGACUGGAGAAAUGUAUAAACGAUUUACACAUGAUAGAACUACUCUUUUCUUGUUAAGAAAUGGAAGAAUGGAUGAUUUUAUCCGUUCGGAACAAAACCCAAUAUUCAUCCAGUUAGACGUUGUUCUGAAUUGUGACGCUUUUGAAAGUUUUCUCGCAGAAAUAUGUGUGUAUUCCAGUUGUAUCAUUAGCAAACCAAGGUUGUAUAUAUUAUAGCACAAAGAAUGUUUGGUUGAUUCGUUCAGGCGAAUCGGGUUUGUUGCUGACUGCCAAAGUCAGGCCAACUCCAGCGCACGACCCCAAACGGACAUCUGUUUUGCCUGGAUUCUGCCCGUUUGGAUAGGGCAAUGGGGUCGUGUCCGGGCCUGUCCUGUGAUGCGGUGGCCGUGCGCACAACGUGCGGACGCAUCCUUUGGCCUCAUCAUGUCCGCCACGGCCAAAAAUGCCCAUAUAUUCAUAUUUCAAUGUUCAAAACUAGUUUGCACGUUCAAAUAUUAAUUGUCUGAAAAUAAAAAUAGUUAUUACAACCCAAUCAAAAUUGUCUCUAAUAAAAUAGUUUUACAACCAAAUCGAAAUUGUCUUGAAUGAACAUAAUGAACCAAUACAUCUAUUGGUUGCCAAUGUGAUUCCACAUGUGCUCAACCAAGUCAUUUUGAAGAUCCAAAUGAGUGUGCCAAUCAUGCAUUUCACGAUGAAAUUGGGCAAACUUCUCAAACGUGGCCGGUUCUUGGUGCAGGGGCUGAACAUUUUCACCUUGAAAAUCAAAUCCUUGGUCGAAGAUGCUGUUAUCAUGCUCGUCCUCGAUGAUUAUGUUGUGCAUGAUCACACAAGCAGUCAUCACCUCCCGAAGCUUCCCUUCAUCCCAUGUCAAUGCAGGGUUUCAAACGAUACCCCAUCGGGAUUGAAGCAAACCAAAAGCACGUUCCACAUCCUUCCUAGCACUCUCUUGCAUUUGGGCAAAUCUCUUUCUCUUCUCACCUUGGGGGUUCGAGAUUGUCUUCACAAAAAGUUGACCACUGAGGAUAUAUACCAUCAGCUAGGUAGUAUCCCUUGUUAUACUGGUGGCCGUUGAUCUCAAAGUUGCCAGGUGGGGAGUGGCCUUCUGCAAGCCUUGCGAAGACUGGAGAACGCGGCAGCACGUUGAUAUCAUUGUGAGAACCUGCCAUGUCGAAGAAAGAAUGCCAUAUCCAAAGAUCUUGCGAAGCCACCGCUUCUAAUAUGAUAGUGCAAGCUUUAACAUGCCCCUUGUACUGGCCCUGCCAAGAAAAUGGACAGUUCUUCCACUCCCAGUGCAUACAAUCUAUGCUACCAAUCAUGCCUGGAAAGCCUCUAGCUGCGUUGGUCGCCAACAAGCUUUCUGUAUCAGUGGCAUUUGGCUGCUGAGGGAGUCCUGGAUUAAGGGGUCCUCGGGCGUCUGGGCUAUGUAACAUGGGCUGGACUAAUGGGCCGCGAAGAUACAAGAUGGAAGGCUUUCCCCCCAUGUCCGGAUGGGACUCUCCUUGGCGUGGAAGGCAAGCUUGGCAUGCGGAUAUUAAAGAUUCCCUUCCCUGUAAACCGAGUCUGUACAACCCUAGCCCCCUCCGAUGUCUAUAUAAACCGGAGGGUUUAGUCCGUAGAGGCAAGGAUAAUCAUACAGGCUAGAUAUCUAGGGUUUAGCCAUUACGAUCUCGAGGUAGAUCAACUCUUGUAAUCCCUAUACUCAUCAAAGUCAAUCAAGCAGGAAGUAGGGUAUUACCUCCAUUAAGAGGGCCCGAACCUGGGUAAACAUCGUGUCCCCUGCCUCCUGUUACCCUCUAUCCUUAGACGCACAGUUCGGGCCCCCCUAUCCGAGAUCCGCCGGUUUUGACACCGACAGCUGCCUCAAGUACUCAGGGCCAAACACUGCCACCACAGCCUUGUAGAAUUUGUAAAGUGACAACAGACAUGUCGACUCACUCAUGCGCACGUACUCAUCCACCAGAUCGCCUGGAAUUCCAUAUGCAAGCAUGCCGAUGGCCGCGGUGCACUUCUGGUAAGAGGAGAAUCCAAGCUUGCCAAGGGCAUCCGUCUUGCACUCGAAGUAUGGGUCAUGAGCAACCACUCCCUCUCGGAUACGAUUGAACAGAUGCCUUGCCAUACGAAAACGGCGACGGAAUUUAUUCGGCUUGAAGAGCGAGGUAUUCGCAAAGUAAUUGGCAUAGAGCAAGGCGUGGCCUCUCUCUCUAUUGCGUUUCAGGUUGGGAGCACGGCCAGGGACUGACCCCAUGUACCGAGGAAGCUGCCCAAUGUGAUCGUGAACGACCAGUGCAACCACCACCAGAUCUUCGUCAUCCGAGGACGAAUCAUCCGAUGAAUAAAUGAAGUGGUGGAAGAAAAAUUCAUCUCCACUGUCCAUACCUUUGUGGGCAAAGUGUCCAACACCUUGCGGUCGUGGUGGCAAAUAGGCCGCGAUGAUCAUCUCGAUGCAGCAGGGGUGGUUGGCGGCCGGCUACUGGCCGCUAUGGAGCACCUGGCGAAAGCUGCCGUGGUCCAUAUCCGUCGCCGGUGGUCGUAUCCCCUCUGGCACCGGCUACAACGACGACGGCCAAAUCUCCUCCAAGCGAUGGCCAGAACUCCUACGAAAGCGCGGGCUUGGUGGCGGCCGUGUCGAGACGUGGUUUGGUAUGGAUGGCCGGGGGGAAGCAGUGAGGAGGCGGUCGGAGAAUACUGGGGGCGCCGGUGGCGGGGUGGGGCGGAGGAGAGCGGGUGGAGGCGUUGGAGGCGAAUGGAGUGCUAGUGUCCCCAACAGGCGGGCCGCGGGGAGGACAAGGGCGUGUGUCCAGCCCGUCCGUGUGAUGUCCGUUUCAUCCCAAACUCGGCACAAGUUUGGGCCAGGAAUGGGUAAAAAACGGACGAAAUCCGGACAUUUGUCUAUUUGAGGCCGUGCCUUGGGUCGCGCUAUUCGUGUAUUCUACCCUAAACGGACGCACCAGAACGGAAUGGGGUCGCGUGCUGGAGUUGGCCUCACGACCGUUUCUGCCUUUGGCGCAGACAAGAGAUUCUACACUGUAAAGGAAAAAGCUGAAAGCUCGCUUGUCUCGUGUGUUUCUCUUCUCUUGCACCUUGUCGGAAAACAGCGUGCACCAGGGACGCUCGAUUCCAUGGCAGGCAUCAAUUCAAUCGAUCAUGCUACAGGGAACCGGCACUAUUUUCUUUUUCUUUUUCUUUUUCUUUUAGGUCGUGAACGCAAGUCAUUUGAGACAUUCACAUAGGACUUACAUAAUUGGUAGAUUUAUUAGCAUCAGUGUGGAGCUAAAGUGUUUGAUGUUUUGUAUGAAUGGUUUGGUCUUAACAAUCAAGCCGACCACUCAGGACCUACUUUUGGACUUUUUUUUUGUAUUAUUGUAUACUAGCAAAAGGGCCCGUGCGCGGAGAAAAAAAUUAUAAUCUUGAAUGACCAUGAUCACAUUUUUUUGCAUCACCGAGAUACACUAUCACUUUCAAUUUCGGGAAAUCAUGUACAUUUUUUAAACUUGUGAACAUUUUUCAAAUUCUUGAACACUUUUACAAAUCUGCAAACAUAUUCUAAAAUCAAGAACAUAUUUUGAAUUCAUGAACAUUUUAUAGUAUUUACAAACAUUUUUAGAAAUUACGAAUUCUUUUUAACAACUUUCUUGAAUAGGCAAACAAUUCUAAAAUGGACGAACAUUGUUUUAUAAAUCGGUGGAACAAUUUUUGAAAUUCACGAACAUUUUUUUGAUUUUACAAACAUUUUUUGAAAUGCAUGAUCAUUUUUGUAUAAACUAUUUUGUAUGUCACGAACAGAUUUUCAAAUAUUUGGUUAUUUCCCCAUUCAUGAACAUUUUUUGAAUGGUGAUAUUUUCUUCAAUUUCAUUAACAUUUUUUAUACACCAAUUUUUAAAAAGUCAUGGACGUAUUUUGAUUUCAUGAACAUUUGUUUUCAAAAUUUCGAACAUUUUUCGAGUCAGAUUCUUUAAUAAAAUUGCAAAUAUUUUUUGAAUACAUAAACAUUUUAUGAUUUAUUAAAACUUUAUUUGAAAAUUAUUUUUAAAUUUCAAAUAUUUUGUGUAUUCCGAAUUUAGUUAAAGCAGAAAAAACGGAAAAGGAUAAAAAAGGAAAUGUUAAAAACAGGCCGCCCGGACAUGGGCGGCCCAAACAGGCGGGCCGCGCCUUAUCCCUACGCGCAGAGCCCAGUAUGGGAGGUCGCUACUACAUGGCCCAGUCCAGACGUGGAUUCCCUGUGUGAAACAUUUAUAUCACUUAUACAUGACAUUUGUGGGUAAUUUGUACGACGUGCCAUAAGAAGAAAUAGCCCCUUUAUUAUUACUAGCAAAAGUGUCCGUGUGUUGUAAUGGGAGAAAUAAAAUCAAAAUCUCCAAUGACCAUGACCAUAUUUUGUUGCAUCACCCAGACACCCUAUCACUCUCAAUUUCAUGAAAUCAUGAAUAAUUUUUGAAAUCACGAACAUGUUUUAAAAUUAUUACUCAUAUUUGAAAUUGUGAACAUUUUUCAAAUUCAUGAACACUUAUACAAAUUUUCGAACAUUUUCUAAAAUCCAGAACAUUUUUGGAAUUGAUGAACAUUUUAUACUAUUUGCAAACACUUUUUAAAGAUUCUGAACAUCUUUAUAAACAAUUUUCUUUAAUCGAGGAACAUUUGUAUGGAAAUUGACGGAACAAUUGUCGAAAUUCACAAACAUUUUUUGAUUGAACUAACAUUUUUUGAAAUACAUGAUCAUUUUUUGAAUCAGUAGACAUUUUCUGAAUGACUAAACUAUGUUGUAAGUCACGAAAUAGUUUUUGAAUUUUAGGAUAUUUCUCCAUUCAUGAACACUUUUUGAAUUGGCUAUUUUUUUCAAUUUCAUUAACAAUUUUUGAUACAAAAACUUUUUAAAAAUCAUGAAUUUUAUUUGAUUUCCCAAAAAAUUGUGUUUAAAGUUUUGAACAUUUAUUGUGUAAGCAAUUGUUUUUUACAAAACAGCGACCAUAUUUUGAAUCCACAAACAUUUUAUGAUUUAUGAAAAUUUUAUGUCAAAAUACUCAUUUUUUAAAUUUUCUAAACUUUUUUGAAAUCCUAAACUAUUUAUAGUAAAAAGAACGAAAACAGGAAAGAAAAAUGAAAAUAGAAAACGAAAUCAAAGAAACAGGCCAGCCUGAAAUGGGCCGGCCCAAACAUGCGUGUAGCGUCUUCUCCCAGCGUGCCGAGAACAUUAUAGGAGGUCCCUACUGUAGAGCCGGCCCAGAUGGGGGAAUUCCCUUGUGUGAAUUUUUUGUAUCACUUAUAUGUGGCAUUGAACUCAUGAAGCAUGCGCUAUCCCUUCCAGCUCGCCGCCAUGUCUGGCUCGGACAACCAGAUGGACUUUCUUUCGUCCCUGUAAACGUUUUGAUGAUAUAAUAAAAAGCUUCGGAAUUUGUCUAAAAAAACUUAUAAGUGGCAUUGGUGGGUAAUAUUUUGCAACUUUAGAGGUAAUUCCAUGACGUACCACCAGAAGCACAAUAGCCCCUUUACUAUUAUUAGGUACUCUUUUUUCCUUGUGGAGCUUUGGAAAUGAGAGAAUUUGAAUAUAGUAACUCUCGGAAACUCUUAUUGGACGAGAGAGAUUUAAUAUGAUAUUGGCAUGGGUUCUACCAACUAAACGAAGAAGUAUUUGACUGAAUAAACAGACAAUUUCCUUUAAUCGACGAACAUUUUUAUGAAAAUUGGUGGAAUAACUUUUGAAAUUCAUAAAUAUUUUUUGAGUUAACGAACAUUUUUUGAAAUACAUGACCAUUUUUUUGAAUCUGUGAACGUUGUAUGAAUGAAUAAACUAGUUUGUAAGUCAUGAGCAGUUUUUCAAUUUUUAGGAUAUUUUUCCCUUCAUGAACAUUUUUUCAAUUGGUGAAAUUUUGUUCAAUUUCAUUAACAAUUUUUAGUGCAUAAAACUUUUUAAAAUCAUGAACAUUAUUAUUUACCAAAGAAGCAAAUUGUUUUUUGCAAAAUCAUGGACAUUUUUUGAACCCACAAACAUUUUAUUAUUUAUGAAACAUUUUUUUAAUACACAAUUUUUUUAAUUUUCGAAUUUUUGUGAAAUACUAAAUUAUUUAAAGUAGAAAAAUCAAAAACAGAAAAGAGAAAGGAAUAAUAGAAAAGGAAGUUAAAUAAUAGGCCGACCGAACAUGGGCUGGCCCAAACGGGCGCACUGCAUCUUCUNNNNNNNNNNNNNNNNNNNNNNNNNNNNNNNNNNNNNNNNNNNNNNNNNNNNNNNNNNNNNNNNNNNNNNNNNNNNNNNNNNNNNNNNNNNNNNNNNNNNNNNNNNNNNNNNNNNNNNNNNNNNNNNNNNNNNNNNNNNNNNNNNNNNNNNNNNNNNNNNNNNNNNNNNNNNNNNNNNNNNNNNNNNNNNNNNNNNNNNNNNNNNNNNNNNNNNNNNNNNNNNNNNNNNNNNNNNNNNNNNNNNNNNNNNNNNNNNNNNNNNGUAUUAUUAUUGUUUCAAAUUUAUUCAUAUAUUAUUUUCAAUUGUACAACCAUAAUUUUUCUUAUCUCUCUCGUUCCACUACAUGCUCCUAGUCAAAGAUUUUUUUUAAUAAUGGGUGUUUUUAUUAACUCAAAAUAUAGCAUCAAGCGGAUACAAAACAUAAUGAGCCACACCCGGUCUAUGCAUAACUAAGAUGCACACAGCCAAAAGCAGAAGUCUGACAAAAAUAAGAUAAGAAAAUCGACAUAUCGACAACAGUGAGUCAUGUAGUACCGACACUAUGCCUCUGUCGAAGGAGGUGGUGGAGCGAUCUGGAGAUUAUGCUGCCAUCCAUGUUGAGUAAAUAUCUCCCUGGCCACUUGCUCCAACCGCAUAGACGCCGCCAUGAACAACGGUUGGUACUCCAUUCGGUGUAGCAUACACCAUACUAGAGGCUGGGGCGCCACCUGAGGCGGGCCUAUGCGCACUUAUUUUGUCUGGGCACUUCGGUUGUCAUGUUUGGUCAUCAGUAUCACUUAUGUACAUCAAUAUGGGCGUAUGCUGUAUUGUUUGAGUUCAUUAGGAUCUAUUAGUAUCACAUCAAUCAAAGUACAUAUACUAUGUUAUUUGAGUUCAGAACCAUCAUAGGCAAUGAUACGUCUAAUAAGGAUAUAUAACAUUUAAUUCAAAAGGAAAGACAAAGUAGAAUUAAGUGCUUUAGUUUGGCCGAAGAAAGGAACCUCAUGAUGCCAUGACUAAGGAACCAAAUAUAAAAGAGCACCUUUCAGAGUACUCCAGAGGUAUGACAUCAUCCAUUUCCACAUCAGAAUCAUCGGAAUUCUCCUGAUCUUCAUUUCGAUGUACCCAACACAAAUGCUACAUGGAUUUUAGUCAGCUGCACUCCCCACUACUUCUACACUUCCCCUUUUUCACACCGACGAGCAGAGACUGAUGCAAGUUGAUCGAACACAGAACAACAUAUAAUUUCCUAGAGAUGCGCUGGGCCUGAAAGGCAACAUACCUAGCAUGCGCAUAAAAUGUGAGAGUAACAAUAAAAGAACAUACCAUUUACCGAUAUGAUUAUUAUUGCUUGCCAAAAUGAUACGUUUUGAUUACUAUUGCAUGCCAAUAUUCUUAAUCACUCCAAGCAAAUUUAACCUAAACUAAAUAUCUAAGAGUAAGCUCUGGUUUAUGUAUUUUACAGAAGUUUGGUUCAGCGAAACUUCGGAAGCAAAUGUGUGAAGGUUUUAUCAUUCUAAUUAAAGGCCUUUUGAUUGUGCAAAACUUACACUACCACAUGAGUUACUGACCAACAUGAGAUGCAAAGUAACAACAGCAUGAUAAUUUUUUUUGAAGGCAGUCAUAUUCUAAAGCAUUAAAAGAUGAAUUCCAAUGCUUUGAUUCUGUAAAGAAUUAGAUCGAUCACUCAACAGUUCUAUUGGCGCCACUAAAAUUCUGAGUGCAAUGUUGUGUAUGUAGCUAAAAUUCACCCAUCAAAGACAACCUUAAUAAUAAGCAAUGGUCAAAACAAGCAAUUGUUGAAGUUAAAUGUAAUUAGAUAGGAAGUCACAUUUGAUUCAUGACCAUCGAGCUGAAAAUGAGACCGAUAAAAGCUGAUUCACCAUGAAGAGAAACAACUAAUGUGAACCUCGGGUUGUAAAACAAAUAGGAUGAGUCGUGUGCUGAUUGCAAAAAAUUGUACUUCUAACCAAAUGACCAUGCUUCAUGAAUAGAUGACAAUAUAGUAACACGAAAGUGAAGUACGGUGAAAUUUUGUAAGCUACUAAGGGCAUAGGGCAAAGCUCACACUCCAGCUUGCACUCCUUGAAGAAAUCAACCAAAAGCACCCAGAAAGAUAAAUGGCAUUGUGGCAUCCGAUGAAUGUUGAUAACUGUACCAUCACACUAAUUUAAUCUACAAAAUUCAUGUCAACAUCACUAAUCAUGAUGUAUCAGGUUAGGAUAAAAUCAUUGUUUUUUCCCAAAAUAAAAUAAAACAAGCCCAGUUAGAAAGAAAUCAUAAGCCUAUCAGACAAUCAGGCAAUUCUGUUAGCAUGUCAACAAUCAGACAGAACAAAACCUAUAGUCCUCAUUUUUUUCUUUCUAAAAAAAGUGUAAUGCUAGAAAAGAGAGUUAAAUAAAAUGCUACGUGAAUCAGCAUACAGAAAAUUCAUAGAAGCAAUGAAGAAAAUAUGAACAAAAUUUAUGUCGAAACACCUAUACUUUCCCCACGAGCAAAUAUGUGUAAUGUUAGAAAAGGGAGUUAAAUAAAAUGUUAGGCAAAUCCGCAUCCAGAAAAUUCAUAGAAGCAAUGAAGCAAAGAUGAGCGACAAAUUUAAUCUACACACACACACACACACACACAUUCAGGCAAACAAAUUACUUCGAUUGAAUCCAUUCCUUUGCAUAUAUGGCAUAAAUGCAUCUAAGGAAAAAAAAACUUGAUGGUGUUAGUUUACCUUGCCAAGAUCAUGAAAUCCAUCUAAAUGAAUAAGAAGCUCCAACAGUGUCCGCUGGAUCUCAUGGUCGUCAUUGGUUCCCUCACUAAAUCUUCUCGCAUCAAUUGCAUCGAUUUCAUCCAUGAAGAUAAUGCAUGGCUAGAAAUAACAACUUGAUGAAAAUGAAACAAAAUUUGCAAGCACCGUAAAUAAACUAAAUGGUGAUAUAAGCUAAAAUGAUCUCAGAAGUGCACUUUUACAUAUAUAGAGAUCAGUUUGAUUUCUUCUUCUCAGGAAAAACUGAUACUGAAAUCUAAAGCUUAAAGUUUUUCUAGUGUUGAACCAGAAUACAAUUAGAUGACAUGACAUCUGAGUCAAGGGAACUAUCAAAGUCACAGCUUGAAUCUCAACACCAGUAGAUGCAUAACCAUCUGCCAACAUACGUUUCUAACAGAUAAUAAGGGAAUUAGGUUUAAGACCAAUUGGCUUUGCAAAAAAGAAAGGCGGAGCAAAACUUACUUGGCGAUCGCGUGCAUAGCCGACCAUUUCUCUGAUUAAAAGCGCACUUUCCCCGAUAUAUUUGUCAAUUAUAGCACUUGACACAAUCUGGUUUUUAGACAACACGUCAGUGUAAUGUAAUACUCACAGAAUGAAAAUACCAACCACCAUCAAUCAAGUGAAAACCACAGCUCCAAAAAGUUAGCAUGAAUGUUACUGGAUAUAGCCCUUGAUAGUAAUGGCUUCCCUGUAGAGUAGAACGCACUUGAAAAAGUUAAAGAAACAUACACUGGCUCCCAUAUAUUGAUCUUGUAUUUGACAAGUGGCCGGGCAUCAACAUUGUGCCUGCUGGUGUACCAAUUCAGCUUGUAGCUGCCAGCUAAUCUCCUUCUGAACAGUUAUGCUGUCCUCACUCACGUGCUACGCCUAUUCAAACUUGCUUAAUUUAAUUUGUUACUACUAUGUUAAUGCUGACAUAUUAACUGGCAGACCUCAUGUACUAACAGUAAAUCCCAGCAUACUUUCUUAAUUUGCUACUAUCCGGAUUUAUUCUUUUAGCGAGAGGUCAGGUAUCACUUGGAACAACUGAGUUUCUUUUUAAUCUUUGUGGACACUACACUUGAACGCCACAACCACCUGGAUAUGUCAGGCAGGACGGGCAGCAGCGCAUCAUCAGUAAGUUUAUUUAAGAGAGUAAAAUUCAGUCGCAAUCAGUCAAUCUCAAUCAGGUUCAGAUUUGGACGCGACCUUGAAUAACGAAGCCCCAACUGGGAAGAACAAGGUUGCAAGAACAAGCAGAUUGACGAUGGGUUCAUGGAAGCUUACCAGGCAGGCAGUCCGCCCGGCGGCUUGAGCAAGCUGCUGCUGGUACCCUACGCGCAGUCGCAGUCCGCACCGGCCAGGGCACACGAGCACUGACGCGCGUGCCGCCUGCCGCUUCACCAUGCCCACGUUGUAGUCGCCACCGAUUCACGGCAGGGCAGAGGGGCCUCGACCUCGUCCUCCUCCACAUCAUCAUCGGCGAUGCCCUUCCCCUCCUGACCCCAACACCAUCAUGCCCCCGCCGACUCAUCUCCCUACAGCGACGGCGACUCCGGAGGCUCCGAGACCUGGGACACCGACAUGAGUGGCUCGUCGGCAUCGGAUCUCCUCCACCCNNNNNNNNNNNNNNNNNNNNNNNNNNNNNNNNNNNNNNNNNNNNNNNNNNNNNNNNNNNNNNNNNNNNNNNNNNNNNNNNNNNNNNNNNNNNNNNNNNNNNNNNNNNNNNNNNNNNNNNNNNNNNNNNNNNNNNNNNNNNNNNNNNNNNNNNNNNNNNNNNNNNNNNNNNNNNNNNNNNNNNNNNNNNNNNNNNNNNNNNNNNNNNNNNNNNNNNNNNNNNNNNNNNNNNNNNNNNNNNNNNNNNNNNNNNNNNNNNNNNNNNNNNNNNNNNNNNNNNNNNNNNNNNNNNNNNNNNNNNNNNNNNNNNNNNNNNNNNNNNNNNNNNNNNNNNNNNNNNNNNNNNNNNNNNNNNNNNNNNNNNNNNNNNNNNNNNNNNNNNNNNNNNNNNNNNNNNNNNNNNNNNNNNNNNNNNNNNNNNNNNNNNNNNNNNNNNNNNNNNNNNNNNNNNNNNNNNNNNNNNNNNNNNNNNNNNNNNNNNNNNNNNNNNNNNNNNNNNNNNNNNNNNNNNNNNNNNNNNNNNNNNNNNNNNNNNNNNNNNNGGAGGCUCGAGCUUGGGAAGGGGGGAGGGGAACGAAGGGGUGGGGCUCCAGGCAAUCCUCACCUCCAAAGACAACUUGACCGGCAACACGGGCAGGCUAGACCUCUUCUAUGGCGAGGCCAACUUCGGCGAGGGGACGAGGUGGUGCGGGACCUUGGAGAUAUCUCCCCCGCGCGUGGAGCUUGUCCGGCGACGCCGCUGAAGAUGCCACUGCCACGACCAGCUCGAUCCUCCUUCGCUGGACUCCGAUCUGGACGAGGACUGAGCUAGGAGGAGGGAAGCGGGAGAGGAGAAGGCGCAGGAGAAGCGGCUGAGCCGGCGGCGCAGGGACCAGGGAGAGAAGAAGGCGAACGAAGAGGGGAUUGACAGAGUGGCGAAGAAGCAUGCGGGCUAGGUUUCCUUUUCUUUUUCUCCCAGCACUGCACAGUUGCUUGUCUCGUAGCUUGCCGGCAUGGCUAUGGCGAGGGCUCGCCCUUGAUGCGUAGGUUAAUGUAUUCGACUAGCGGGGCGCCUCUUGAGAGGAAGCUGAGCGGUGCUAGGUGGGACGCGCCCCUUUCCCUUUCCUGCAUAUACUAUGUAAUGUUAUUGCAUCAGAUUUAAAGUAACAUGCUCAGCUAAGUGCAAAGUGUGAUGAAUAAGUGAAACAGAAGGAAGCUGGUACAUUGGUGUAUGCCAAAAACUGAAUAUUAUAACAUAAACACAUGAAGUCAUCGACGUCUAUGGUAUGAAAUGCACAUGCACAAAAUUAGAGUGCACAUGAAGACAGAGCACUAUAGUGUCCUGAGUUGCAAGUCUCUAAGCACUGAAAUGAUCUGCAAUCAUAUGUACAAAGUAACCGAAUAAGAACAAGAAAUUUAGAGUAAAUGAGCUGUAAAAUUGUAAGUAAUGAGCAUUGGAAUUAAGGCAGAGUCAGUGACAGUUGGGUGCACUUGACAGGAAAAUCGGCGAGGCAUAAUAUGAAAUUAGAGUAAAUGAGUGCGUGCACUUCUCUUGGUGGCACCUAAAUGAAAAAAGAAACUAUUCACCUCUCGAUAUAUUCCCUAAGACCAUAUAAAAUCAGGAAGGUACUGAAGAGAGAUGCUCAAAUUCGAAGUUGCCAUGUCUAGGAAUGCUUGAAGCUUCAAAGAUUUCCUAUAAUACAGCAUGCCUCUAACUAUUCACAAUAAGAAAAACAUGUAAAUGCGGAAUCAACCAAAUGAUGGUAAAUUGUAGUUGAUUUUGGCCAAGCAAACGUCAGAUGAAAGAAACAUACAUGAGUGAACAUCACGAUUGGAUGUUUUAUUCAAAUUUAACAGGUUAAACUCACCAAAUACAUCUGGAUAUUUAGUGUUAAACUUCAACAGAUGGUCAGUUGUAGCUAGAUUCACACCACUGAAGCAAAAUUCCAUCUGCCACGGUUACAUCACACCAUCUUUUCAUCGUUACUAUUUAAAUUCCAAAAGCCUGCAACUCAUUUUUUUUGUUACGAUGUAUGCAUGAUUUUUAACUCAAGAGGAAGAGGGGAAACUAAAUCCAAGAAAAGAACACCAAGGAAGCAUCCAAAAUAGAGAAAGGAAAAAUCCAAAAUAGAGGCAGAAUCGAAGGGAAGAAACCCCAUAAAAAAUAGGAGAUCAAACGGUGAAAAAAAUCUAAGAGUCAAACAAUUCCAGGUAAGACCAAAUCGACGGCAAAAUAGCACAAGAGGGACUCACAUUAACAGGUAUACCAAUUCAGAAAGAAGUGUAAAGCAAACAGUGCAAUGGACCACUAGUAUAAAUUGGAUGUACACAAACAUGGGACUUAAACAGGAACUGCGAGAUGCAGGGUUCACGUGCAAACCCAAAAAACGGAAAACUGAAACCCACAACAAGAUUUUAUCUUCAUAUAUAUAUAUAUAUAUAUAUAUAUAUAUAUAUAUAUAUAUAUAUAUAUAUAUAUAUAUAUAUAUAUAUAUAUAUAUAUAUAUNNNNNNNNNNNNNNNNNNNNNNNNNNNNNNNNNNNNNNNNNNNNNNNNNNNNNNNNNNNNNNNNNNNNNNNNNNNNNNNNNNNNNNNNNNNNNNNNNNNNNNNNNNNNNNNNNNNNNNNNNNNNNNNNNNNNNNNNNNNNNNNNNNNNNNNNNNNNNNNNNNNNNNNNNNNNNNNNNNNNNNNNNNNNNNNNNNNNNCCUAUCUAUUAGUUGCUUCUUCCGAAUCCCCACCUAUCAAGCGUUUUCUUUGAAUAAACAAACACAAUAGUAUUCUCUGAAUUAUACUGUACAGUGAUAAUUAACCAAGCGACUGGAAUUAACAAUAUUAUGAGCUAUUGGCUUUUUAGUCAGGUAAAUAUCAUUCUUAAGACUACGGAAAACAGCAGGCGGCGAAGAAAACAUCUAUUGAUGAGAACUAUACACAUACUUAAGAAGGAAGUGACAUCUAUGGUAGCAGAACAUAUAUCAAGCUGUUGCAGCUACAUUAGCAGUUUAGCACAGUCCCUCCAUAAUACACAGGCUAGUGUAAUUUCACAAAUACAAUAAGCUAACAAUAUAUAUUUGGUAGAUGGAAAUGGCUGGAUCAUGACCAAUAUACGAUUACACAUCCGAUGAUGCAAAUAAAGAAACGAGGCCCAACAAUAGUGGAAAAUAAACCACAAUAGAACAUGUAUUUGGCGAAACCUCCAUACUGCAAUAUCAAACAUGAAUUGAAAUUAACAAUCUAGCAAAAAAACAUGACAGAUGCAGUCUUGGUCAUUUUUUCUUUUGUGACAUCCCCUAAAAAAAGUAAAAAGAAUGUUGUUCGUAUUUUACCAGAGAUACACUGAGCUGGGACAAAUCGGUCUGAAAUAAAAUAUGAUGGCUUCGGAGGAUUCGGAAGGCAAGAAAUUUGCUUUCUUCCAACAUAUAUGGUCUGCUGAACUAAACUUUGUUUCAGCGAGCUUUGGCAAAAAUCUGUAACUGCAAACAUCAAACUUGUGUGCCCUUCCUACAUCAAACUUUAAACCUGACGGAUUAAAUAUUUUAGGUUAGGCUGAGAUCAGUGUACUUUAUGAGUGUUAAGUGUACUUUCUAAAUAGCAGAGAAACCAUAACAUCUAAGCACAACCCAGCAACUUGUACAAGCUAACAUCAAAUCUGAAAGAGGAAAUGUCGAGAACAGGUGAAGGUACCAUGAUCCAUGACUGAGCAAAGUUAUCUAUAAUCCUCGGUGAAUAUCAUAAAUUAGGAUCAACAAAGCUGAAGAACAAACGGGAAAGGAACCUAGAAAGAUCUUCUGCCGGUAGAAUAUAACUGAUACACUAUCCUCAUUCUCGAGAUCAAGGUCGUUUCUUGAAUUGCAGUUUCCUCACUGUAGUAUGGGGUCAUUACACUGCGAAGAACAAAGUGUCAUAUGAAUCAUUUAGAGCCCAAUCUUUUUCACUGAAACUCUUAUGAUCACAUAACGAAUUUAAACAUAAGGUUUAUUAGAUAUUUGUUGUUGUGAACUGAUAAUAUAUUUCUGGUGUUGACAAUGUUUUGAUUAUGGAUGCACUUCAAGAUGGGUGGCACAGAUUCUGUUGUACAGGCCUCCACCUGGAAUUUCAUCACUUGUUAUUUUUGUUUAGAAUGUCUAGGUGCAUUUUUCCUUUAAGGUGGAAACAGAUGUACUUGUAUAAGCAACAAGAAUACAAAGCGCCACUGCCAUACAUUGUGGAAGUUCAAUGCUUCUGUUUACAAAAUCUGCUUCCCAAAACAGAAGGAUUUAUAAUUUUUUAUUACAAUCAAGCGGACAUGAGCUGAUGAGUACAGAUGUAAACAUGUACUGAGAGCAGCACCCUUUCAAAAGUGGAUCAUUUACAAGUUGGAUAGUUUGAUGGUCUGAAAUUAGUGGUCGUGUUUCAGAAUUGUUAUCGAAUAGUAGAGGAUAUAUAUUAACUUCUGAAAUUAGUGGCUGUUUGUCAGAACUGUUAUCGAAUAACAGAGCACAUAUAUUAACUUCAAUAAGUGGAGUAAUAUCUUUGGAUUCGCUGUGAGGAAAGAUUACCAAAACAAAACAGAAGUGAGUGCGACGACCCAGAUGAGGGCGCUCUUGAGCCUCUUCCCGACCGACCUAGAUGCAGGAGCAGAACACCGCGGAUCUAAUCAGCCAACGAAUAAAGCCGAGGCAGGUAGAGGAAGUAAGGGAGGAAGAAGACUGACUUGUCCUGGUCGCCCUCGUAGUAGAAUAUGGUGAACGGGAUGACGAGGAAGACGAGGACAGCGUCGAGGAUGUAGACGACGAGCCAGAGCGUCUUCAUGGGCAGGAUAAGGGCGCAGGCCCCGUUGUAGGCGGCGUGCUUGCAGGUCUGGCGGUUGGCGACGUCAGCGGGGAGCAUGAGGAUGGAGAGGACGGCGACGGUGAUGCCGAGCACGACGACGAGCUUGGGGAAGUAGGCCUGGUUGGCAUCAUCCGGGUGCUGGUAGUUGACGAGCAUGUAGACGCUGACGAGGAGCACCAGGAUGCUGACCACCGCCGCCACGAUCACUAGCGCCACGUUAAAAACCCCAUCUCCUCGGGGCUCCGGUCCCGGUUCCGGCCCGCCGCCUCGCCCCCGUUGGUCGGUCAGAUCUCUCUGUCCCUAGAGGCGGGGGGAUACAGGCUAGGGUUUGGGCGUGGGCGGGGAAUAGGCUGCUAUGGUGUCGGCAGCGGGGCGGCCACCGGCGGGGAGGGCGGGAUCCGCGCGGGGUGGCGGGAUUUGGGCAGGCGGUGGGCUCGGGGGAGGGCGGUGGCAGCGAAGCAGCAGGGAGGGGCUGGAGGAGAUGAAACGAAAGAGGUCGCGUGACACAGCGACAGCGUCGUCCAAUCCCCUCGCUGCCGAUUUAAAAAAAGGUAAUGAUAACUCCCGAACGUUCAGGAGUUAAGCAUGGCAACCCGAACGGGUUUAGAUGGCAAGUUUAGUUUGCGUGAGAUUAGAGAAACAUGGCAAUUUUCUGACAAAAGAAAUGAAAAAGGACGAAGUUGCCAUCCCCUAUCAACUAAAGUUGCCAUCCCUAUGAACUAAAGUUGCCAUGUAAAAACGUUCGGGAUGAAAUGCUCAAAAUCCGAACGUUCGGAAGUUAUUGGAUUCAAAAAAAAUCCCCUUGCUGCCAAUCGCUGGCCCGUUUCUUUUUUCGCCCAAUCGCUAGGUGAUGACGUGGCUAUCACGGGAAGGCGCCCUUGAUGCGUAGUCGAAUGGUUUUAAUUAAUAGGAAGCGAGUGCUUACUCUAGUUACUGAAUUAUGUACACCAAAUAAAGCCAUUUACACGUAGUUAAUGACAAAAAAAGUUGAUGUUUGCUACGCAAACGUGUAGUACAAAUUAAGAAGUGCAAGAUAAAAAAAAAUGCUGGUCCUUGAUUCGUUGUUGAUCGUCAGCAUGCCAUCAUCAAUUUGUAGUUAAUUAUCAUACAAAUUGGCUCUUUCAUAGAGUUGGAGGCUAGCUCCUUUGAUCAGCACGCGCUUAAACAUAAACAGCACGUAUAUGUUUUGUCUCCGGAGUUCAAUUCUUCAUCGGCCAGCAAAAAUGGCCCGACCGGGUAGAGGAAAAGGCAUGUUUGUUAGUACGCCUGGAGGAAAUGCCUUUGAUUAGGGCAUCUUCAACAGCGACCAGUAAAUUUCCUCCCGCGUUCGUCCACGGAUAGGGGAUCAGUCCGCGGAUACGGAUACAGGAAUCAUCUAUCUAACGCUGUCCGCGUAUAUUUCAAACACAUUUUUUUUAAAAAAAUAGGAUGAAAUUCAUGCAAACACAAUGGAUUUCAUACAAACCGGACAAAAAUGUUUACAUUUUGGACAUAUUUUUUUUACUAAAAACUCUACAGCCGGCGCCGGCGAAUAUCCACUCCGGCGACAUGGAACCCUUGACUAGUCUACUGCCGGCCGCAGCGGAUCUCCAAUGUCGUCCCCAUGUCCGGCAACUAUGAGCCCUAGAGGUAUAUGCUUCAGCGCAAAGAGCGGCUCGCCUCCCUACCGCUCAUCGGAGUGGAACAACCAGCUGAUGCUUCUGCCGAUGGAAAGGGUCCCUACGCUACACGGAUUAGAGUUGGUUUUGGGCUGGGAACGGCGGUGGCCUGCCAGAGGGCAAGACACCGACUGUGUAUGCUGGUGUCACCUGGUGUGGCAUUCGUGGGACCCAAGCGGCAGCGCCUCCUCGAUGAUGGCGGCGAGCGCGGACGUGUUGGACACCACCUCGUCGAUGUCCGUGCAGCCCGCUUCUUUCUCUGUAGGAAGGACGCGGUUACGCUCGCGUUGACAUCGGAUGACUCGGUCACAUGCACGGGAGGGGCGGUACGACAUGGCACCGCCAAUGGCAGCCAUGAUGCCCGCGCCAGCGUGCUCUCUCCCAGUGCCGACCUAGAGCAACUUGCCACUCCUCUGCUCGUGAACGGUGGGCUUGACGGGCCACCUAGCCAUUUUUUAUGCCAGACAACUCUUCUUCCUGCUCGUCAGAUGUCAUGGAUAAAACUGUUUAAGGAGGAAAAUGAUGAGUAGACGUGUGAUGCGGUUCUUGCCCAACAUCUGACAUUGUUUAAAUAGCGAGGGGACACGAGAGGAGCCAACUGGCGUUCUGUUUAAUGCCAACCGGCUCGCGAACGAACAUGUGGCUGGAGUAAUUAUCCUGGCACACACGCGGGUUUAAUGGUGGAAGGUGGGCAGUCUGCAGGAAUGAGGCGAGGAUGUGUGCUUAGCCGGCGUGCAGCAGGCGGCGCCCUCGGCCGGCGUGCUGCAUCCAUUGCGGAGGCAGUGAGAGGUCGCGUCCGCUCUGCAGCGCAUGAAUGCGGGCAGCUGGCGCAGAGCGGGAACGCGUGCGGGCGAGGGAGGAGGGGGUUUGGGCGGGUGGUCAGAAGAGGUCGUGGGUGUUGUCCGAACGCCUGCAAAGCCCCCCUCCAUGUUUGUCUCCAGUUUGCGGGAGAAAGUAUGUCCGAACCGUCUCCAAUGGACCAAUACAGGCCCGCAUUGGAUGGCACAACACGUCCGGACCAUGUGGUCCGGAUGGUUGUGGACAGUUUAAUUGAGGGUCGGCGUUGGAGAUACCUUAGAGUUUAUGAAUCCAUUGUGUUUUUCUAAUCAUAAAAAAGCACUUACAAUAAGUUAUAAGGAAAGACACGUUUAUAUGUUAGGUUCAGACUCCAGCUUUCGUUUUACAUAUGCUUUAUUCAUCCGACUGAUUCCAAUAGAGUGAGCCUAGCGUUGUUUUUCUGGAAACUCGCGGGAUAAGGAGACAUGCAUACACAUUCUUUCAAGCAAAUCACAUCCAUCCUUUUUAACUCAUUUUUCUUCUUUUAAUAAUAUAAUAGAUCAUUUAUAUUUUUAUCUGAAACAGUUGACGUGUAAUUUAUAUUGUAAUCUGAGGAUAAUGUUUGGAUUUUACUUUCAAAUAUAUUUGAAAUGGCCAUGAUGGAAUCACAUCCAUUUAUUUUAUUAUUAUUUGAAUUUGAUCCAAAAGAUAAAUAAUGAGUAGAGGUCAUGUCAACUUUUCUGAGAACUUUGCUAAUCAAAAUAUAAUUGUAUUUAAAAACAUCUAUUUUUUAGCACGCAUGAAAAAGAUAACACGUAUCUUUUCACACAUAAUGAACGGUUGUCAUAAGAACUCAUGCCAUGCCACAACCUCCCUCCGACCCUGCCAACAUUGUUGCAGCUGCACUCGCAAGCCUUAGCGUAGAUGAUAAUUUAUACAAUUUGCGUAAAACAAAAUAAGAUCUACAAAUGAAUAGAAGCUAGAACGUACAUUGGCAUGCACACACAUUGCAAGCCAUACUAAGCUGAUAAGUGUUAAUAACUUGUACAACAUAUACAACACUUAAGACAAGUAAAAGCAAUUUGAUGAGUCAUGGUCUAUCAAAGCCACAUUACUAGUCUAAUCCAUCUUAACAGGUCACACAUGAUUAAAAUCUUGUUUGUGUGCAAGUCAAGCUUAUCUAGUUUACAUGUAACAACUUGUAGAACAUUACAAAAUUUAUGUUUGCUAAUAACUUCUAGAACACUACAACACUUGACAUGUAAAAGGAAUUUGAUGAGUUAGCGUACUAAAGCAAGUUAUAUUACUAGUCUUAUCUACCUUAACAGGCCACACAAGAUUACAAACCAAGUUCUGUGCCAGCCAUGCUUAUCUAGAUUAUGCGUAACAAUUUGCAGAAAAUUACAAACUUAGUUUCAGAAAAAUAGGCAAUCUAGAUUAGUGUUUGAGCUGUAAAGUGAGUAAAAUGAGUCAUGCGUGUUAUCACACCUUUUUGGUUGUGGAAUGAUAGUGCAACAACAAGGAACUUUAAUGACCAGUUCAAGAAUACACUUGUAAGUAGUGCCACCGAACACAACAUACCAAAUUAUGAUUUUGAGAAGCAUCCAAGCACUUCCACACAAGCAAAUGCCAAUUGUGAAAGAGAUCAUGCCAUGGCAGCUAUAAAUAGGCCCGUAGCAUGACGAUCAUCCUUCCUCAUCCAUCAUUCUCAUAAGUAGAGCGCAUCAUUUAAGCCAAGCAAGCAGUGCUCAAUACAAAUCCACCAUGAAGACCUUUCUCAUCCUUGCCCUCCUUGCUAUUGUAGCAACCACCGCCACAAUUGCAGUUAGAGUUCCAGUGCCACAAUUGCAGCCACAAAAUCCAUCUCAGCAACAACCACAAGAGCAAGUUCCAUUGGUACAACAACAACAAUUUCCAGGGCAGCAACAACCAUUUCCACCACAACAGCCAUAUCCGCAGCCGCAACCAUUUCCAUCACAACAACCAUAUCUGCAGCUGCAACCAUUUCCGCAGCCGCAACUACCAUAUCCGCAGCCGCAACUACCAUAUCCGCAGCCGCAACCAUUUCGACCACAACAACCAUAUCCACAACCGCAACCACAGUAUUCGCAACCACAACAACCAAUUUCGCAGCAGCAGCAGCAGCAGCAACAACAACAACAACAAAAACAACAACAACAACAACAACAACAGAUCCUUCAACAAAUUUUGCAACAACAACUGAUUCCAUGCAGGGAUGUUGUAUUGCAACAACACAGCAUAGCGUAUGGAAGCUCACAAGUUUUGCAACAAAGUACUUACCAGCUGGUGCAACAAUUGUGUUGUCAGCAGCUGUGGCAGAUCCCCGAGCAGUCGCGGUGCCAAGCCAUCCACAAUGUUGUUCAUGCUAUUAUUCUGCAUCAACAGCAACAACAACAACAACAACAACAACAACCGUUGAGCCAGGUCUCCUUCCAACAGCCUCAACAACAAUAACCAUCAGGCCAGGGCUCCUUCCAGCCAUCUCAGCAAAACCCACAGGCCCAGGGCUCUGUCCAGCCUCAACAACUGCCCCAGUUUGAGGAAAUAAGGAACCUAGCGCUAGAGACGCUACCUGCAAUGUGCAAUGUCUAUAUCCCUCCAUAUUGCACCAUUGCUCCAGUUGGCAUCUUCGGUACUAACUGAGAAGAGAAGAACUCUAGUAGUAGAUAUAUGAUACACCGUUUUCUUAGUCCAUGGUUUGGUCGUUGUAGCGGUGAAAAAAUAAAGUGACAUGCACUAUCAUGUAAGAACCCGAACUAUACUAGUUCAAACAUGGGAAUAAAAGACAAACACAUGUCUUGUCUACAUAUGAUUGUUUGUUUGAGUUCCACUCAUGUGCCCACUCACAAGUUCACCCCUAAUUAUAUAUAUUAUGCAUUAAGUAGAUAUUUAUGUUGCAUUAAUCUAAAGAUAACAAAAUGAGUCUGAAAUUUGAAUUAAAUUGAAGUAUUUCCUUGGACUUUCAAAUGGAGUAUUAUUAAAGUAGUAAGGACUAUCCACAUCCUUGGCUUGCCCUUGAUCAAUUAUUUCCAGAGAAGCAUUCAAUUCAUUAAUCAAUUACAUUGAUUUUUGUGGCUGAUACUUUUCCUCAACAUGAGUAUAUUCAUCGCGGCUACUCCAAAUAGGCAUGAAUGAGGUACCGGUGCUCUGGAGCACUGGUACCUAACUGCUUCUCAUGUGAAGGGGUGGGGGUGCGGGAGAGGUGUUUUUGGUGGGCCAGGGGAGUAAGAAGCGGCCGUGGCAGCGGUCCAGACACCCACAAAGCCCCGUAGUUUGUUUUUGGUUUACAGGAAAAUGCACAUCCAGACCGGCCUGCGGGCCGAUAUAGGACCGUAUUGAAUGGCAAAACAUGUCCGGAUGGUUGCGAGCGGUUUAAGGGUUAGCUUUUGUAACGGCCGGUUAGUUAUGCUAUGGUAAUUCCCUGCUAAUGAUGUCACGUCAGCACGAUUACUGUUGUUAACCUCACAAUGAUUCAAUCCCAUUCAAAUUCAAAUUUAAAAUAAAGGCAAACAUCAAAAGUUUCAAACAUUAAAACUAAAAUCUUCGAGAGGUGAAAAAUAAUGCAUAAGUAAUUAUGGUGGAGAAACCACACUUUUAUAAAAUGUUUAAAUACUCUAAAAAUAAUAAAACAGUGGCUUAAACUAUUAUUUAAAUGCUUUUAAAAUAGUAAAAAUGUUCUAACUAAAUUAAUUGGGUACCAAACUUUUGGUGGCAGUGGUAUAUUUAGUAGAACUAAUUUAGAUGCUAAUAAAACAUAAAAGGAAAGACAAAACAAAUAAAAGUAAAAGGGGGCAACCCCUCGCUGGGCCUCGGCCAAGCUGGCCACUGGGCUAGCUAGGUUGGCCCAACCGCCUCCCUUAACCCCCCACUCCCCAUCGAACCCUAGACCGAUCGCCCCACUUCCCCACACCCCCUCGUCAGCCUCCCCACCUCUCGAUCCCAUCUGGAUCGGGGAGGGGAUCGCCCCCAUCGACCCCGUCGCGGUCGCUGGAUCGCCCGCUCGCCCAUCGCCCGCCGGCGUCGCCGGACCUCCUCCCCGUCGCACGUCUCCGGCUCUCCUCCCCUCUCGCUCCUCUUCCCCGACCCGAUCUGGAUCGGGAAGGGCCAAUGAGCCCAACGCCCCCCUCCAUCGACGCUGUGCUCCAGCACCGCCGCCCGAAGACCUCGCCAUCGCCGGACCUCGCGUCGCCUCCUCGUAUCCCUCCCCGACUCGCCUCCUCAAGCCACGCCGACCCCCUUCUCGGCAACGCUGUGAGCCGCCUCCGUUUCCCUCCUUCUCUUUCCACCGUGUUCACCGCGCCGCCUGCCGUGCCCCUCGCCGCGCGCACGCCCACCACCGCGCCAGCCCCCGCUCCGCGCCCUCUCCUGCACGCUUGUGCGCGCAUGACCCUAGCCGCGCCCACGCCGUGAUCCCCUUGUCCCGCCCGCCUUCGUCCCGCGCUCGCCGCGGCCCCCAUGCUCCCCUGCGCCCUCUUUUGGGGUCGUCGGCUGCCCCUGUCCCGCAGCUCGCUGGCAUGCGUCCCCGCCCG
rnacentral:lncRNA from 1 species